UAUUCGUUUGUUACCAUUUUGAGUAAUAUUUUUAUGUUAUGUGUGUCGUAACAUAACAAUGUACCUAGAUAUUGUUGAAAAAAUUAUGUAGUACAUUCAGCAGACCUGUAAAAGCUUACUAGUUUAUGCACAUUUAUCUCAUAAACAGAGUAAACAUUUUUUUUUUGGGUCCUUGACCUUGCAGAGCUUGCUUACACAAUGAAGAUCACAGAGAAAUGCGAUGUGUACAGUUUUGGAGUGUUAGUGUUGGAAGUGAUCAAAGGGAAGCAUCCAAGAGAUUUUCUUUCUUCGAUUUCAUCUUCAUCUCUCAACACGGAUACAGCACUUGAUGAAAUGUUGGACCCGCGUCUUCCAGCUCCAUCAUGCAGUGUUCAAGAAAAACUGAGAUCAAUCGUGGAGGUUGCGUCUUCAUGCUUAAAUGAGAGUCCGAAGUCUAGACCAACUAUGAAGAUAGUCAGUCGACAAUUGCAGAUUUCAGCUGCCUUGACUGAGUCUUAAUUUUCUAAGUAUACUUCUAAUUUGCUUGGUGUCUUUUUUUUUUCUUUCUUCUAAUUUGCUUGGUUUAUUUUUCUCAUGUACUGCAGUUUGUUUGGUUUAGUUUUCAAGAAUCAGGAGGCGUUGGUUAUUACGUCAUCCAUAUAUGCUUGGUAUAUGGUGUACUCUUUCAUUUAUAAAUAAAAUAAAGUUUGCACAUGGGGCAGUGGUGAGCACAUUUGAAGAACAAGAUUAGUAAGACAGUUUGUAAUAACUAAAAAUAAUAAUUUCUGGCGACAUGUACAAAAAGGUGAACCCCUCAAAUGUAAACUAGAAAGUGCGUUAUUGAUGCGAGAUUCUGGUUGCCUUCUCUACCAAGACCAGGGCCUCUGCUCGAUCAACUCUACUACGACCAGGUUCCCUCCUCGCAAGGCUUCUUCUCCGAAAGUUCCUGUGUACACAGAAGCAGGUCAGAGUACGCCGGUUGUUUCCCCGGCGUAUACUCUCCGACGCUCAAGUCAGAUAUGAAGGUCUUUUGCGCUCUUGGGAACACUAGCCAAUAAUCUUCUGGCUUUUCUCUAGUACCCGUUCUUUAGAGCUUUCUUUUCUUAGUUAUAAUAUCAAAAAUGUUAACCCUUUUACCUUCGUUGGCUACCUUUUUAUAGGCCACUUCUGAACUCCGGCCUCCACUCCAUUCGUGCCCACCUCUCGAAAGUGGAUACUCCAUUUCCGUAAUCGUGGGUGGUUGCGUGGGCUUCGUGCCUUGAUUCUCGGACUGGAGAGCACGUCUCGUCAAUUGUCGUUGACCGGGUCUCCUCAACUCAACCCUUAACAAGAAUGUAGCAGGAAUGACUUUAUGCUUCCAGAAGGAGACUGGCCUCGUGAAUGGCGUGCUCGUGGACGAGCAGGAUAUUCCUGCCCCUGCUCCCCUGGACACCAGACUCUUACAAGAUAUAUCUGCUCGAGGAACCCUGCUACCAGAUGUCUGCUAAUCACUUCUGGUCUUCGUCGAAGCAUACCCCACAAACAUGCGUACCACUGUAUUAAUUAAUGGCUGGCUCUUACUUACCGAUAAUGUUAAAUUAAAUGUUAAAAGAAAGGAAUAGAUAUGGGGAAAAAAUUAAAAAUUGAGGAUAAUUUACAAUGUAGUCCUAGUGAUUUAACCGAAGAUCAAAUAAACCAAUAAUAAUCAUUUUUUUUUGAAUGAUUUGUCUUAGCUUUGAGUAAACGAUUUGAAGGAACUUAUCGCUCUCACCAAUUGUCUUGAAUGCUCUAAUGGCUUAUACUUUGUAGAAUCGCCAAUGUUGUGAUAACAACUUUGAUGGUUAAAGUUUGAUUGUGAAUCUCGAUUGAAUGACUUAAUUUACAUUUGAUUCUUAUGCCGACCUGUACCAAGUUAAUCUUUUUUCUGGAUGUUUAAUUUUGUUAUGUCAAAGUUAAUUAGUUGAUGUCCUAUAUUUGAUCAAUGUGGAUGGCUGAUCAAAAUUAAAGAAUCCUUGAACGAAUUGCGGCCUUGACAGAGAUACGACAUCAGGGCAUUGUAAAAACAUGACUGACAUUCAAUUUUAGUUUAUGAAUUUCUUGAAAGGGGUAGCUUGGCCAUAAUCUUGAGCAAUAAUGCAGCCGCUGAAGAGUUAAGUGGGUUGGAGUCAGAGAAUGAACGGGAUAAAAGGCGUUGUCGAUGCCUUGUAAUAUUCAUUUGUUGCCAUUUUGAGGAAUAUUAUCAUCCAACACAUUCUAUAGAGAUAUAAAAGCUUACUAAUUUAUACGCAUUGAUCUUUCAAAAGCGAGUAAACAUUUUUUUUUUCUUUUUUAUUUGUCCUUGACCUUGUAGAGCUUGCUUACACAAUCAAGAUCACAUAAAAAUGAGGUGUACAGUUUCGGAGUGUUAGUAUUGGAAGUGAUCAAGGGAAAGCAUCCAAGAGAUCAGAUGUUUUUUUCCGCAGUUUCAGCUUCAUCUUCCAAUGCUGCUUGAUGAAAUGUUAGAUGUUCAGAGCAAGUUGAUCAUUACUGUUUGAAUUUUAAAUAUCUGCCUUCAUUUCUGCUGCACAAGUUAAUUAUACCCAUCAUGCUUAUGCAGGCCUUAAUUCGGGGCAAAACAAUGUUAGUUGACAGAAUUUUGCAACUAGAGAAGGAUGUAAUUCAUAGUUAAUUAGUCUGUCUUCAACACAAAAUAGAAAAUUUAGUUGACAGAUGGCCACAAAAGACUAGCUUCGUUUUUGCUAAAAAAUAAAUAAAAUCUGCUUCAAUGCCCCCAAUUUCAAAACUAUCAUUGAUAUAGAGCCAUUGAACCUGGGCUUCAUAUUCAACUUUUCAGCGUUCCAUUUCUAGCCUGAAGUUUUUGAGAGCUUGGACGCACUUGAGUCUUGACAGUACUACAUAACCCUCGCGAGAUAUGUCCCAAAUCCCCUGGGCCAUAAUUUUGCUACAAAACCCGACAGAAUUAAUGAUCCUUAUUAAUUAUGAAUUACAUCGUCCUUUGGUUGCACAAUUUUGGAUAAAAAAAUUGGACCAGUUUCGGUGAUCGGCUGAGCUUGUAUGGACUAUUAAGCACUAAAUCAAUAGUUUAGAUUUGUCCAACAUGAGUUUCACGUGGAUCCCAAUCAACUCUUGACCAUAGAUUCUGUACCUACACAACAUGCUUAUGGUUUAAAAAUAAAAUAAAUCAUGUUAAUGCUUUGAAUCAAUACUUAAUGCAUUGACAAUCAUUUUCUUUGUGCACCAAGAAAGUUUAAUGGUCCAUCUAUUAGUUUACAUCUGCUUAAUUUGAUUGGAAUGAAACGAAAUUAAUAGUUUCUUUGUUUUAAAAAAUAAAUAACUAUAAUUUCUUGAAUAUUCGAUGAAUUAACAAAAGAAUUGUGAAUGAAGUUUUGUUUGGUAUUAAGGUAUUGUUAUCUUUAAAUCACAAUUAUUGUGAAAAAUAAAGGUAUAAUAAAAAAGUAAAAGUUGGUAAUUUGUAAUAAAUAUAACUUUUAAUUGAUAAUUUUGAUAAAAAUAAUAAAAAUACAUAAUUUUUCUAUCAUUAAAGUAAAGUUAUUUCAACUUCUAAGUCAUAGUGAUGAUAGAGUUACAAACUCUUAUAUAAAUUUAUUUUAUAUAAACUGAUGCAUAAAUUAUUUGUUAGAUAAAAAUACAAAAUAAUAAAAUAAAUUAUGUGAAACAAAAAAUAUUUAAUUUAAUUUUAUUAAUUUUAUUAUGUCAUGUUAAUUUAUAUAAAAUAAAUUUAUAUAAAAAUUUGUAAUUAGAUUAUUGAUAUGCACCCAUAUAUAGAGUCUUCUAUUUAUGUUAGUGUAAACCAGCACCGAUACAUACAGUAUUCUAUUUGCUUGAGUGUUCUAUCCAAUUUUUCCGUCCAAUAUGAUUACUCUUAAAAUGAAGGAAACCAUGGACCCCAUGAACGAGACAUCACGUGGGCCCACUAAUCUUGAUGAUAAGUAUUGAUAACAUCUUUUUCAUGUAAAAAAAACACCCCCGCUUUACAACGACACCGUCUUUUCUUUGUCUUUCCUUUCGUUUUCGUCAGCCUCCACCAACCCUUAAAUAGCCGCCCCAUUUUCUUUCACUCCUAUCCGUUGUCCACGCGUCCCACCAUGAUUGCUUCUCCGGUUCUAAUCACAAGAUUUUCGUCAAAUGGACGUACGAAAUGGGCCCCAUCUCUGCGCAGACCACACCGUCUAUUCUCUUUGUGAAAGGAAAAUAAAACUAUUAAAAUCUCUAAAUCACUCUAUCUUCUCGUGAUAAAUUGAAUUCAACUCUUUUUUUAAUCUUUUAUUUAUAAAUAGUAAAUAAAAAAAUCAAAAGAAUUCAACUGAAUAUUCCUUUUGAGAAAUUAUAAAAACAGAAUUAUACAGUGGUGAACUUCCUUGCACGAACAUGACCUUGAUUCAAUUUAUUGAAUAUACGUAUAUGUUACUUUAAUAUAUUUUUUCUUAUCGUUUAUAAAAUGUGGUGCUUAUUUUCUUUCGUAUACCAAACAAUAGAUGUGUAUGUAGGUUGAAGCAAAUAUAAUUUUAUAAAAUAACACUAUGUUGUAUGGUAUUUGGUAAAAUAUUUAAUCUUGACAUCUUAUGACAUUAUUAUUAUUAAAUCUUCAAUAAAGAUUCUUCAUUGUAUUGAACAAUUUUUUAUAUAAUAUAAACUAUGUAUUUCGUCAUAAUGGAAGCUGUCAAGAAAGGUUGUCUCAACUCUAUAUUAAGAAUUUGUAUUCAUAAAUAUAUAAUAUGAUAUAAACCUUAAACAUUAAAAUUGUUUCAUAACUUGGUUAUCAAUAAAAGAUUUAACAAUUUUUUAAUUAUUGAUUGUAAAUAUUAGCACAUUAUAAUACAAUAUAAAAAUAACCUUACAGUUAAUUUAUUAUUGUCACAUUAUAAAUCUAUAGAAUUAAUUUGAAUUAGUAAAAUUAUUAAGACAAAGUUAGAAAGAUAUAUCAAAAUUGGCUAGGUCCAGCUAGUUUGCAACCGUGAUUUGGUACCUCAUUUUUUUUCUGUUUGUGAUCCAACCAUUAAAUUCAACCCAAGAGUUGCAAAAACUAUUUCAACGAAAAGGUUGCAAUUACUUGGUUAUUAACGCUGCAACCCCUCCUAUUUCAUAAAAAAAAAAGAAAAUGUUAAAUUUCAAGAUUUUGAUACAUAAGUCCAUCAAAAUAUUUUAUGAUCUUUAUAUAAGUCAAGAGUAAUUUAAUAAAUAAAUAUAUUUAGAUAUACAAAAAUAUGGAUGGAUUAUUUUAACUUAGUAAACACUCCCCACACCCAUUUAUUUAAAAUAUCAAUUACAAAAAAUCCCAUUUUUAGUAUAUUUUUUUAAAAUAAAAUACCCAUUUAAUGUUUUACCAUUUAAGAUAGUGUUACUUAUAAGGAUAAAUAAUUAUUUUAAUUAAAUAAAUGAAACUUAACUUUUAUUUCUAUAAAUUUGCUCAACAUCAAAUAACCUUAUAAUUGUUAGCAUAAGAUAUAAAUUUAGUCUAAAAAAUUUAUUCAAAGGGUCCCCUUCGGGCAAAAAAUAAAUUAUCAUAUGAUAAUUUGGUUGGCACAAAUUGUAUUAUUCUUAAUUUACUUAUUAAUGUCAAACACUAUAUUAGAAUUAAAUUUUAGUAAAAUAAACCUAUGUCAUCAUCUUUAACCACAUUCAACAGACCCUAAUUGUUUAGAUUUUGUUAUAAAGAGCAAGAUAUAGUUCUUCUCUUAUUACGGUAGUAAAAAAAAAUAAAAAUAAACACAAUAGAUUUCUUUUAAGAGAAUGCAAGCAUUAUUUUUAUGAGAUUUUGUGUUCAAGAAAUUAAUCUAAUUAUGUGGUUAGAAGACUCUAUUUUUUGAUAUUUUAGAAGAAUUAUUUGUUGGAUAAAUGAAUAAAUUAAGGUCAAAGCAGAACAAAAUGAUUGAGAAGAAAACCGAGAGAGAAUAAUUUUUUAGAAUUUUAAAAUUUUCAUAUUUUAAUUAGGGUUUAUUAUGUAAAUUUAUUGAAAUUUAUAGUUUUUAAUAUUACAGAAAACAGUAGAGAUUGCUGAAGAAAAUGCCAAAUAAAUUUUUUAGAAUUCUAAAAUUAUUAUAUUUUAAUUAGGGCUUAUUGUGUAAAAUUUUUAAAAUUUAUAGUUUUUAUUAUUUGCCAAAAACAAUGGGGACUGUUAAAGAAAAUGUUAAAAUUGGGUGUUUGGUAUAACAGAGGCAAGAUAGUUCUGUCCAAAUUGGGAAAUAAAAAUUCAAAAAUAUCUUGUCAUAUUAGUACACCCCCAAAACGUCACCGUUUCAUUCUCACUCCUUCCUCACACCCCUCUACUUUUCCCCACAUUCCUUUGUUUCGUAUCAACUCAAAAAUUCAUUCUUUUAAAUGCCUGCAUUCAGCCACUGAUGCACGCAUUUGAUAAAUAUGCUGCAGCAUCAGGGCAGAUUUUUAAUUUCCAGAAAUCCUCAUUGUUCUUCAGUGGAAAAAUUCCAGAGCAUCAACGGGCUGCUAUAAAGGGUAUUUUUAAUUUAAAUGUUGUCUCAAAGCACGAGAAAUACCUCGGUCUACCGUCAAUGAUUGGGAGAAAGAAGAUGGGGUUCUUUAAUGAUAUCAAGCUGAAAGUGUUGAACAAGAUUGCAAGAUGGCAGCAAAAAAUUUUGUCUAGUGGGGGGAAGGAAGUUUUGAUCAAAGCGGCUGCCCAAGCAAUUCCGACGUAUGCAAUGAGUGUUUUCAAGCUCCCAAGAGGCUUUUGUGAUGAUAUUCAGCGAGCUAUAGCGAAGUUCUGGUGGGGCUCGAAAGGGGAUAAGCGCGGAAUCCAUUGGCGGAAAUGGGAGAAGCUCAGCCAGGCUAAGAUUAGAGGGGGGCUAGGAUUUCGAGAGUUUUCUUGCUUCAAUCAAGCGCUGGUAGCUAAGCAAGCUUGGAGGUUACUGCAGUACCCAAAUUCGCUGGUCUCCAGAGUCCUUCAAGCAAGAUAUUUCAGGAAUUCCAGCUUUUUAUGUGCAAAGGCAGGAGCCAAUGCCUCAUAUAUUUGGAGAAGCAUCAUGUGGGGUAGGCAGGUGAUUGAGAAGGGUAUGAGAUGGCGGAUAGGCAAUGGCAAGAAGAUUGCAAUCUUCUCGGAUAACUGGCUGCCAAGACCAGAGACCUUCAGACCUAUCUUCCCUCCAUCUUUGCCCGUAAGCUCAGUUGUGGCAGAUUUAAUUAAGGCUGAUAAUCAAUGGGAUGAAAUAAAGAUUCGACAGCACUUCUUGGAUGUGGACACAACAGAGAUCCUCAAGAUUCCCCUUCCAGCUGAGGAAGCUGAAGACGAAGUGCUUUGGCAUUACGACAAGAGAGGGAUCUACUCUGUCAAGAGUGGGUAUCAGCUAGCAUUGAGAUCAAAAUUUCCAGAUUCCACCAGCUGCACAGAGGCUUCCCACAAGUACUGGAGUGCUCUUUGGACUCUGGAGCUGCCUGAGAAGCUAAAAAUUUUCAUGUGGCGGGCCUCUAAUAAUCUGCUUCCAUCGGCGGAAAAUCUGUGAAAAAGGAAGGUAGUGAAGGAGCCAACUUGUAAGCGAUGCAAGCUUAGUGUUGAAACUAUCAGCCAUGCUCUCUUGGAAUGUAAGGCAGCAAGGAAAAUUUGGCUCCAAUCCCCCUUUCCAGCCCCUAGAUUAGAAGCUAAUUCUCAGGACAUUUUCAGCAUUCUGCAGAAAAUGGCUAAUGAGCUGAGGAAAUCAGAUAUGGAAUUAAUGGUAGCUCUGUGUUGGUCAGCCUGGUAUGCUAGGAACAAAUGUAUCUUUGAUGGUAGGGAGAUUAAUCCUAUUAUAUCAGCGGCUAAAGCGGAGUCGGUUGUGACAGCUUUUCAGAGAGUCAGGAAGCCCCAGCAAGCUCACAUCUCCAUCUCCAUAAAAGAGAAGCAGUAGGAGUGGCUCCCCCCUCCCCAGAAUGUUUUUAAAGUCAAUGUGGAUGCUGCUCUUAAUUCGAAGAAUCUGAGUGCAGGAGUGGGAGCUGUGAUUAAAGACUCUCAUGGGAAGAUAGUUGCGGCUGGGGUAAAUCAGAACCUCCUAAAGGGGUCAGCGAGCUUGGCUGAAGUAGAGGCGGUGCUUUGGGGCCUUCAGCUGGCAAGAAAGGUGGAUGUAUCCUCUUUGAUUAUUGAGUCUGAUUGUUUAGAGGUGGUCCAGCUAGUGAACAACACCAAGGGCAGCAGAUCAGAAAUUUAUUGGACAAUUCUGGCGAUGAAGUUCUUCCAGAAAGUGGUUGUCAAUCACAUUCCAAGACACUGUAAUGCUUGUGCCCAUUACCUAGCUAAGAUAGCUUUGGGGAAAAUCUCUCCCUGUAUGUGGCUGGGGAAUAUUCCAGUUGAAUUGUAUGAUAUCAUUAAGGUGUUGUGAUUAAUGAAAGGUUUACUUUCUUUUCAAAAAAAAAAUUCAUUCUUUUAACAUUAAUAAUAAUACUUUUAACAUUAAUAAUAAUAACCCCAAAUAUCUCCUCUAGCUUUUUGCUGCUUCUUAAUUUUGAUCGACUAUGACGAUGUACUAAAGCUUCUUAAUUUUUUUCAGUUUUUUCAGUCAACGCUUUUGCUUCAAGAUUUCGUUUUACCUUCCUUGAAAAUUAAAGCUCACCUAAUUGAUACAAUUAAAACUCUUUUUUUAGCUGAAAAGUGAUAUAAUUUUCACUACUUUCAGGAAAUUACGUGGUUCGACUUUUAGCCUACGUCCACGGACGAAGACAAAAGGAAAAUAUUUUAUUAGUGAAAAGGAAUUACAAGUAUUGUGGUAUUUUAGCUUAUUAUCCAAAAUCCCAAUACACCCAAACUCUCAAAACACUAAUCACUCAAGAGUUUAUUAAACUCUUAAUACUCUCAACUUUCUAAAGGAAGGAAAUGCUUCUCUGUCGAUGGAAUGAAUUUGCUCAUUCUCUUCGUUUCUAUUUAUAGAGAAAGUUUUGGCACUAUUCAUCAAUUAUAUAUUAUUUUAUUAAUUUUUUUUCUUUGCCCUUUUCGGCCCGGUACCCAUUUUUCCUUCUUUCUCCAUUUUUUCUUUUCUUCCCGUCAAAGACGGAAGUAAUGCUUUCAUCUUCAAAAUGGCCAGGCCCACCUUCUAGAAGGGUGGUGCCCACAUGCCAUUUUUGUCAUAUUAGUAUACCCGAAAUCUGGCAAGGAUUGAGAAAUUAAACUUAGUUUUGUUUGUUAAACUGGUUGAUAUGAAUAUGAAAAGAUAUUGUAAUUCAACUUUUAAAGUCUGUUAAGAUAUUUGAAUUGAUUAAUUACAUUUAGCUUUCUAUUUUAGUUAAUUAAGUGAAUUUGUUACUAGUGCUGAUGUGGCAGUCCAGUCAGCUAAAUCUGUUAUGAUCGUUAGCUUAAACAAACACAUUACUCACAUGCAGAGUAAAGAAUAUUCCAUACAGCCUUUUGUAUAAAUGCUUGUAAUUCAGCUCGUUUGAGCUUUAGAUAAAUACAACAUUCUCUCUCUGUUUUCUCAUUCAUUUUCUCUGCAACCAAACAACUCUUUUAUCUUUACAUGGUAUCAGAGCUAGAUCUGUAAGCUGAAAAUGGCCUUAGCUCAUUCUAAUCAAAACACAGUAACCUCCAUUUCUUCUUUUACGUUCACAUCACCAAUUAAGCUUGAUCGAUCGAAUUACACAAUCUGGAAAUCUCAUAUCCUUUCUUCAGUUCGUGCUAAUGGACUUGAAGAUCUUCUUGAUAGUUCAAAGUGUUGUCCAGAUCAAAUUCUUCCUCAUGAUUCUGAAGACUCAACAGCUGAAACUUAGAUUAAUCCAGCCUUCACAGCUUGGAAGAGGAAGGAUCAAAUGUUGCUGAGCUGGUUGAUGUCAUCUAUUAAUCUCGAAAUUUUUAGCCUCGUGGUAAAUUCUGAAACCUCUCUUGAUCUGUGGAUAAGUCUUGAACAUCAGUUUGGAUCUGAAACAUUUGCUAAGAAGGUUCACCUAAAAAUGAUGCUUAACAAUCUGAAAAAAGGAUUAAUGUCUAUGACUGAUUUCUUUGGGAAACUAAAAACGAUAACUGAUGAAUUAGCCAUUGCUGGAAAUCCUAUCAGCUCUUUAGAUUUCAUUACUCACCUGAUCUCUGGAUUAGGUCAACCUUACUACCCUGUAGUCGUAUACAUUGAAGCAAACCUUGCCAAAAUGACCAUCAAUGAAGCAUAUUCUAUGCUUUUAACUCAUGAAGCUAGGCUGGAAGCACAUCAGUCAAGUGCUAGCAAGGAGGCUAAAUUGAACUAUGCCGCUAACAUUGCUCAAACUGGAUCUAAUAAUAAAUCUAGCAAUCAGUUCAAUACUAAUUAGAACAAAAAUGCUGGGAAUAAUAAUGGAGGCAGAGGUGGCUAUGGUAGAGGUUAUACACAAGGUCAGGGGAGAAGUAAUUGGAAUAAUAAUUGGAAUGGUAAUGGUGUGCAAACUAAAAACUAUCAAGGAAGAGUAUCAUUCCAAACUGGGAACUAUCAAGGAAGAGGUUAUGCUGGAAAUGGAGUUUAUGUUGGUGGCAAUGGCAAUGGCAACUUUGCCAAGAAUGAUGGAGGUUUUAAUAAUGGCAAGAAUUUCCUUGAUCCAAAUGUUGCCACUGUCACUUGCCAAAUCUGCUUUAAACCAAGGCAUACUACAGCUGAGUGCAGAAACAUGUUUAACCGAGAUUUUGUUCCCUUUUAUCCAACCUUUGGCUACAAUCCAGCUCAGUCUCAAGCACCAAGAGCAGUUUUUCUCACAACCUCUGAAGGAGAAAUGGCUGAUCAAGGCUGGUACAUUGACAGUGGGGCAACCCACUAUCUCACCAACAAUUUACAAAAUCUGAAUUUUGGAAAAGAGUAUUCAGGUAAUCAGUUACUGCAUGUUGGUAAUGGUCAAGGAUUAUACAUCUCACACAUUGGAUAUACAUGUCUAUCUACAUCAUGUGGCUCAUCUUUACAUUUACAUGAUAUCUUAUAUGUUCCUCAACUCACCAAAAAUCUUAUUAGCGUUUCCAAGUUGCUUGAGAAUAACAAUUUAAUCAUUGAAUUUGUUGCAAAUAUGUGUUUUAUUAAGGACAAGAAGAGGGAUGUGCAUCUGGCUCAAGGGAUUGCUAGAGGAGGAUUGUAUCAACUGCUAUAAAAAAAUGACUUUGUCUCCAACUCUUGUAAUCUGACAUGUGGUCCUAGUUCUAUGCUUUCUAUUUUCAAUAGCUCAACUUGUAAUCAUUCUGAUUCAGCUGAGAAUAAAACAUGUAUUCCUCAGUGUCAUACAAACACUGUUAAGUCAAUAAUGUCAGCAAACUUGUUUAAUCAACGUUUUGGUCACCAUAGCAAGCAUGUAUUAAAAUGUAUUUUGUCUUCACUGUCACUUAACUGCCCUGUUACUAUGCCUGAUUUUUGUGAUGCAUGUCAAUAUGGAAAAAUGCAUCAGCUUCCUUUUUACUCAACAAGCAUCGAAACCAAAGCUCCCCUAGAACUUAUCCAUACUGGUUUUUGGGGUCCAACACCAUUACCUUCCUCAAAUGGUUAUAGAUACUAUAUAAGUUUUGUGGAUGACUACAACAGAUACUGUUGGAUAUUCCCCUUAACUCUAAAAUCAGAAGCUCUAGACACCUUCAAAUUCUUCAAAACCUUAGUUGAAAAACAAAUUGGGUGUUCUGUCAAAGCUUUACAAUCAGAUUGGGGGGAGAAUACAGGAGUUUUCAACAUUUUCUUGAACAAGAAGGGGUAGUUUUUAGGCAUAGCUUUCCUCACACACAUCAUCAAAAUGGUGUGGUAGAGAGGAAGCAUAGACACAUUGUGGAAACAGGGCUGACCUUACUUGCUCAAGCCAAAAUACCCUUAUCCUUCUGGUGGGAGUCAUUUCAUACUGCUUAUUUUCUUAUAAAUCGAAUGCCAACACCUAUUUUAAAUAAUCUGUCACCUUUUACCAAACUCUAUGGUAGAAAACCUGAUUAUCAUUUCCUUAGAACUUUUGGUUGCCCAUGCUACCCUUUUCUCAGGCCUUACAGUAAGCACAAAUUCAAUUUUCAUACACAAAAAUGUGUUAUGAUUGGUUACAGUCCCAUACAUAAGGGGUAUAAGUGUCUUGACUCCUCUGGGAAGAUUUAUGUUGCUAGACAUGUGACAUUUAAUGAAUCUAAGUUUCCAUACUCAGAACUUUUUCCUUUCUAUAAGCCAAAUCAUAAAAUACAGAUAAGUCAGUUUCUUUCUACAAAUAUUUCUCUUCCAGCAGUCAUUGAAGAUAUAAGCAGCACACAAUCCUCUCUCAGCUCUCCAACUCCAGAUGCCGCUCCUAAUUCUGGUCAUUCUGAAACACAAUCUAUGCAACAAUCUCCAAACACUUCAUCACAAAGUUCAUUCUCAUAGCCAUUAUCUACUAAUCAUUCUACUCAGCCACAAACACAGCUUCAAACACAACCUUUAUCAACACAUGUCAUCCAAAAUACCCAUUCCAUGGUAACUAGAUCAAAAGCUGGAGUGUUUAAACCCAAAACAUACCUAGCAGCAGUCCAAGAGCUUGAGCCACAUUCUGUAAAAACUGCUUUAGCAGAUCCUAAGUGGAGACAAGAUAUGCAAGAUGAAUAUGAAGCCUUGCAGAAAAAUGAAACCUAGGUUCUGGUUCCCAAAGAGUCAGGAGGGAAGAUUGUUGGCAACAAAUGGGUAUUCAGAGUAAAGUAUAAUCCUGAUGGCAGCAUAUCCAAGUAUAAAGCAAGACUAGUUGCAAAGGGGUUCCAUCAAACACAAGGUGUAGAUUUCUUUGAAACCUUUAGCCUAGUUGUUAAGCAAUGCAUUAUUCUUAGCCUUGCUGUUAUGCAUAACUGGACAGUAAGGCAGCUAGAUGUUAAUAAUGCAUUUCUUCAUGGCAUACUUACUGAAAAUGUCUUCAUGCAUCAACCUGAGGGUUUUGUUCAUCCUCAGUUUCCAUCACAUGUAUGUCAACUUACCAAGGCACUUUAUGGACUUACGCAAGCACCAAGGGCCUGGUAUGAUAUAUUGAAAUCAUCCUUACUGUAGUGGGGGUUUAUUGCUUCUAAAUCUAACACCUCAUUGUUCAUUCAUCAUGUGGCAGAAGACAUUAUUGUAAUACUUAUCUAUGUGGGUGAUAUCUUGAUAACUGGUUCUAGCUCUAAGCUUGUAGAAGGAGUUAUAAAUAAAUUGGGUACAGAAUUUGCUUUAAAGGAUCUUGGAGAGUUUAAUUACUUCCUUGGUCUUGAAGUUACCCCAUCUGUUGAAGGGCUGCAUCUCUCAUAGACUAAGUAUAUAGGAGAUUUAUUGAAGAAAGCUUAGAUGUUAGAUUGCAAAGGGUGUCAAACUCCUAUGAGCUCAACAGAGAAGCUGAUUAAGGACAAAGGAGCUGUGUUUGAAAAUCCCUCACUUUACAGAAGCUUGGUUGGUUCUCUGCAAUAUGUUACUUUAACAAGGCCAUAGAUUGCAUUUACAGUGAACAAGCUCAGUCAAUUUCUUGCUUAUCCAUCAAUCUUUCACUGGCAGGCUUGCAAAAGAGUGCUGAGAUACUUACAAAGUACAGCAAACUAUGGCUUGCAGUUCUAUAAUUCUGGAUCUCUUAAUCUCACAGCUUUCUCAGAUGCAGAUUGGGGUUCAGAUUUAAAUGAUAGAAGAUCAGUGGGAGGCUAUUGUGUUUACUUGGGAAAUAGUUUGAUUUCAUGGUCUUCAAAGAAGCAACACAUAGUGUCCAGGAGCACUGCUGAAUCUGAGUAUAGAGCUUUAGCUCUAGCUGCAGCAGAGGUGCUAUGGAUUACUUACUUACUUAAAGAAUUAAAGGUGUCAUUGUAGCAAACUCCAGUUCUCCAGUGUGAUAACAAAAGUGCUGAAGCAUUAGCCAGCAAUCCAAAGUAUCAUUCCAGGACUAAACACAUUGAACUUUAUCUUCAUUUCAUUAGAGAACAUAUAGCCAAAAAAGAACUUCAAGUUAGCCAUGUUCCCAGCCAUGAACAAGUUGCCGAUAUACUUACAAAACCCUUGGCUUAUGAUCAAUUCAAUUAUCUGCGUUCCAAGCUCAAUGUUCUUCCCAGACCUUGAGCUUGAAGGGGGCUAUUAAGAUAUUUGAAUUGAUUAAUUACAUUUAGCUUUUUGUUUUAGUUAGUUAAGUGAAUUUGUUACUAGUGCUGAUGUGGCAGUCCAGUCAGCUAAAUCUGUUAUGAUCGUUAGCUUAAACAAACACAUUACUCACAUGCAGAGUAAAGAAUAUUCCAUACAGCCUUUUGUAUAAAUGCUUGUAAUUCAGCUCAUUUGAGCUUUAGAUAAAUACAACAUUCUCUCUCUGUUUUCUCAUUCAUUUUCUCUGCAACCAAACAACUCUUUUAUCUUUACAAAGUCUCUUUAAUUUGUCUCCAACAUUUUGAUAACUUAAACAAAGUAUGUAUAUUUGAUGACAAAAAAAGAAGGGCAUUGGAAAAGCCAACCCCAAAAUAUUUAGUCUUUCCGCUCUUUCUCUGGCAUAAUUUUCGGGGAGACAAAAUGCCCAGCAAACAAGUUAAUUUGAUCCGUUAGGAUCGAAAGAAACGUUAAUUAGUCAAUUCGUCCAUUAAUCUUGGUCACAAAUGUUUAUUCUAUUUUCUGGGACGACUUUCCAUGGACUUUAAUUGUAGUUCGAAGGAGAAUGGCUGUCAAUACAAAGAUUUUUUUAACAGAACCGCAUGCAACAAGUGAACCUUUUGUUUGGAUAAUUUUAAUAUCCUAGAUGUCUUUGAAACUUUUGCCUUAAGGAAUAGGGGAAAACUCUUCCCUACUUGAUCAGGCUUUGAAUCAUACGCCUCUCAAACACUCCACACGUUCAAAAUACAAAAGGUAUAUGAGGAGGAAACGAUAGGAGAGCAAGGCAAAAAAAAAAAAAAAAAAAAAAAAAAAAACUAAUUCAAAACAAAGUCAAUAACUAUACAAGAAUUCCACAUCUUUGCUAACUUAAGCAUCGGAGUGGAAUUCGGAAAUCUCAUUUUCUAAUUGUCCCAUUUCACAUUUUGGGUUAUUAUGUGUGGAAAUGACUUCCAUCUACCGCACUUGGUUCAGUUCACAUAGAAAAGAAAUAAGUAUUAACAAUCACAUGCAUUUUUUAUUAUAUUUCCGAUAUGACUUUUCAUGUCCUUGCAUUAUAUAAAUUAAAAAAAAAGGAGAAAGAGAGAGAGAAUUGAAGAAUCUUCCCGGAAAAACAUUAACGUCAAUUCAAUCCCAGAAAUUAUGCAAUUCACGGUAAGCAAUUCACGGAAAAACAUAAACGAUAUGACUUUUCAUGUCCUUGCAUUAUGUUGAGUUUUAUUACAGUCUCUGAUUCAUACAUAUAAAGCAUUUAGUGACAGAAUAAAUUCAAAGAAUUAGACUGUAAUUUUUUAUAAAAAUUAAUUCGGUUCUCUUUUUGGUGGUACAAGGAUCAUUGACAAUAACUUAUCUUGGGACCAUACCUUUUUAUCCUGAGCCACACUCUUACAAGGUAAAAUCAAUAGUUUUUAUAUCAUGAGUGACAUAGAAUUUGCUUCCCAACUUUUUACAUAUAUUAUUAAUUUAAAGAGAACUUUACAUGGAGUGAUUUAAUUCAUAUAAAACUGAGCUAAUAUACUUUCUUUCUUUUUUUUGCUAAAAUAUUUUUAGUAAUGACGUCUGAACUAACGAAAAUUUUCACUUACAUAUUCGAGUUCCAACAUAGUAUGCCAGUGAAAAAAAUGAAACGUCAUCUUACUGUUUAUUUGAUGAAAACCAAAUGUUCAAAGUGACUUGAUUUACAAGAACCCGAUUAGCGAGCCUAUGCUUUGCGUAGGUAGCCUCAGUAGCCCUGCGUUGUAAUAAUUAAUAGAAGCAUCAAAAAUAAAAUUUGUUUUGAUGUAACAAAGAUUUGUAAUUACUAAAUUCAGCAUUUCAGUUCGUUAUGGUGAAGUUUCUGAGUUUCUUAAUCAAGUAAAAUAGCAUCCUUUAUUAGACGAGUCAAGUAUAAAAUUAAGGUGCUGAUGGGCAGAUGCCAAAGCAGAGUGAUUUGAGAUUAUCACACCAGUGAUCUUUGCUAGCUCUGAGUGCAAAGAUAAUGUUUGUAAUCUUGUUAAUACUCUGUAUAAAUAAUACUCUCUUCUGAAAUCCGUUGAUCAUAUUUGUCUUUCACCUUGCAGAACUUGCUCACACAAUGAAGAUUACUGCAUAUUUGUCAUUUCUUUUUUCCAAGGAAAUUAUUAUGACAGUAUUGAGAUUUGAAAUGAUUGUUUGCAAAUUUUAUAGUUUAAAAUUAAGUAUGGAUUUAUUAUCAUAGUAUGUUUAUUCUUUGCUUUAUGCUUAAUUCAUCUUGACUUGCUUACAGAUAAGUAAAUUAAUUUGAAAAUUAAGCUCGAAGUGUUGUAUCCAUUCUUCCAAUAUUAAUUACAAGCAUUCAAUAGGAUGCAACUGUUACAAGGUGCAAAUCAAAAUUAUGGUAACAAUGUUAGUAAAUUGGAAAGCUAGCUAGUCUCUACAAAUUCAAUAUAGUCUUGUCUAUUAAAUUGGUGGAUACGAAGGUGAAUAGAAAUUAUAAUUCAACAUUUAAAGUCUUUCUGUCUCACUCAUUUUAAUAUCUUAACAAUGUACAUUUGAUGACAAAAAAGAAGGGUAUAGAUAAGCCAACCCCAAAAUAUUUUGAAUUUCCAUUCUCUCUCUGCCGUAAUUUUCGGGGAAGCAAAUGCCCAGUGAACAAAAGUUUGAUCAAUCAAUGAUUGGAUCCAAAGAUACGUUAAUUAGUCAAGUCUUUCCAUUAAUUUUGAUCACAAAUGCUUAUCCUAUUUUGUGGGACGACUUGCCAUGGACUUUAAUUGUAGUUGGAAGGGGAGUGGCUAUCAAUACAAAGAUUAUUUUGACGGAGUCAGAAUUGCAUGCAACAAGUGAACGUUUUGUUUGGGCAAUUUUAAAAUCGUAGAUGUCUUUUAAGACUUUUGCCUUAAGCAACGGGGAAAACUCUUCCCUACUUGAUCAGGCAUCGACUCAUACACCUCUCAAUUGCUAGUCUGGAUUCUAUAUAAUUUUGGCUCGCGUGGAAAAAGCUACUCGUGGAUUCCACCUAAUAACUCCAAUGAUUUUUCCUGAACUUAAAACCAUAAUCUUUAGCCUUUAACCAUUUAGACUUUGGGCACGGACGAACGGUGUGUUAUGUAGUUCAUAGUUGAAGUGAAUGACGAUGAUGAUGAUGUGGUGUGUGUGCGUGUUUAGAAAUGUACCUUUAAGUAGCGUUUGUUUUUAAGAAAGAGGAGGAGACGAGGGGUAAAAAAUGGAGAGGAGUGGAGAGGUAAUGAGAGGAUAGGAGUGCAAAAAUUGAUAUUUAUUGUUUGGUAUCAAAAAAAAAAUAAAAGGGAAAGGAAUUACAUGUUUUUUUUAAUUUGGACAAGUAUAGCCAUUGGAAUUUAGUGUUAAAAUGUUAAUAUUAGCAGUAAAUAUAAUAAAAAUAAUUAAACUAUAAGUUAAAUUAAUCUAUAAUAUAAACUAAUAAGAAAACAUUUGAGUUUAUAUUAUAUUUUUAAUUCAUUCAUUAUUAUUUUAUAAUCAAAAUAACUAACCAACAAGUAGUGGAUGGACGACUACAAGUCGUAUAUCGACGUAGAAGAACAUGACAUACGGCUCAAACGGUGAUUGAUUUACUGAACUGCAACCAAAGGAACCAUUUUUUGGAUAAUUUCAGAGCAAUAGUAUUCAGACUACUAUGUAAAAAACAUUCUAAUCUUGGAAAACUUUUCCACCUUAUGAAACAUUGGAAAAAUCUUCCCAACUUGACGCAUCGACUUGUUGACCUCUCAAUUGCUCUUGUGUGUGGCUUCUAUAAAUUUGGCGUCCAACGUGCUCGUUUUCUGCACCGUUGUAUGUUUUCCAAAAGCUAAGAGUCAUCAAAAGAUCUUUUGAAUUUCAAUAAAACUUCGGUUUAACUUUAUUUAUUUGAUUGUGUUUUUGGAAUAUCAAUGGGGUCACCAACCCUCAAUACAGUUGUUUCACUUGUUUUGUUGAUCCUAUUUUUUGUGUUAAGUUUCUUAAUAACUGUUUCUUCAGAAUCUAAUGAAGAAGCCGAUGCUCUUCUCAAAUGGAAAGCCAGCCUUCAAAUCCAUAACCGAUCUCUCCUUUCUUCUUGGAUUAAGGAUACCUCCAAUGUUUCAUCCAAAAUAAGCCCAUGUGCUUGGUCCGGAAUCAGUUGCAAUGAUGCCGGAAGAGUCAUCAAGAUCAGCCUCCCAGGUGUCGGAUUAAAAGGUAAGCUUCACGAUUUCUCAUUCUCAUCGUUUCCUCAUCUUGCUUAUCUUGAUCUCAGUAGGAGUGGACUCUUUGGUACUAUCCCGCCUCAAAUUAGCAACCUUACGAAUCUUAGCAACCUUUAUUUAACAUCCAAUCAAUUGUCAGGAAAUAUUCCGCCAGAGGUUGGUCUUCUGAGUCAUUUGAAGUUCCUUUACGUUGAUUCGAACCAAUUAGAUGGCUCAAUUCCACCAGAAGUAGGUCAAUUAAGUUCUCUGGUGGAGCUUUUCUUGUUCUCUAACAACUUGAACGGUUCAGUUCCUCCUUUAGGUAAUUUGACACACAUCUCUUUGUUGUACAUUCGUGAAAAUUCAUUUUCUGGUUUUAUUCCUCCAGACAUUGGAAACUUGAAAUCUAUGUACAUCCUAGAUUUGAGCAGAAAUCAAUUUAGUGGUCCAAUCCCUGUUUCUUUCGGUAAUUUGACCAACCUAAAAAACCUAGACCUCCUUGAUAACAACCUAUCCGGUUCCAUUCCACCCUCCCUCGACAAUCCUCUUUUAACUAUGCUAGGAUUGGAUUUCAAUCAUUUUACAAGUUAUUUACCGCAGAAUAUUUGUCGAGGUGGAGCAUUACAGUAUUUUACUGUUUCUGAAAACCAUUUUCAAGGAACAAUCCCUAAAAGCUUGAGAAAUUGCACAAGCUUAAUCCGAGUACGCCUUAAUGGAAACAACCUUACUGGAAAUAUAUCAGAAGCUUUGGGCAUUUAUCCUAACCUGACUUUCAUAGAUCUCAGCCGCAAUAAUUUUUACGGUGAAAUCUCAUCUAAUUGGGGGAAAUGCCCAAAAUUAGGCACUCUCAAUGUUUCGAUGAAUAACAUUACUGGAGGUAUACCGCGCGAGAUCGGAAACAUGUCUCAACUACAAGCACUCGAUCUUUCAUUGAAUCAUAUAGUUGGGGAGAUUCCAAAGGAACUUGGAAAGUUAAAUUCACUAACCAAGCUCAUUUUGAGAGGGAAUCAACUGACAGGGCGUCUACCUACAGAAAUCGGCUCACUCAUUGAACUUGAAUACCUCGACUUUUCUGCUAAUAGGUUCAACAAUUCAGUCCCAGAAAUUCUCGGCAACUUGCUGAAAUUGCACUACUUGGGCUUAAGCAACAACCAGUUUGUCCAAGAAUUGCCAAAGGAAUUGGAGAAGCUAGUUCAACUUUCAGAAUUAGAUGCAAGUCAUAACCAUUUUGGAGGAGAGAUACCAUUUCAAAUAUGCAGUUUGAAAAGCUUGGAAAAGCUGAAUCUCUCCCACAAUAAUCUCUUUGGUUCGAUUCCAAAUUGCUUUGAGGGAAUGCGGGGUCUAUCAGUCAUUGACAUUUCUGAUAAUCAAUUACAAGGCCCAGUUCCAAAUAGCACAGCAUUUCGGAAUGCCUCAGUGGAAGCGUUAGAGGGGAAUAAGGGAUUGUGUGGAGGUGUGAAAGGAAUGCAACCAUGCAAAGUUUUCUCGUCACACAAUCAAAAUUCUGGAGUCAAGUGGUUUGCAAUAAUGUUCCCUGUUUUAGGAGCACUAUUUGUUUCAAUGGCGUUGAUAGCAAUUUUCAUUCUUCAAAAGCGGAAAUCAGACACAGGAGAUCGACAGAGUAGCAACCAGAACCCUCAGGGAUUGCUUUCUAUAUUAAAUUUUGAAGGCAAACUUUUGUACGAUGAAAUUGUUAGAGCAACAAAUGAUUUUGAUGCAGAGUAUUGCAUUGGAAAUGGUGGACACGGAAGUGUUUACAGAGCUGAACUACCAUCUGGGGAAGUCGUAGCUGUUAAGAAAUUUCACUCACCACUCCCAUGCAAUCAGAUUGCAGAUCAAAAAGAAUUAUGGACCGAAGUUGAGGCCUUGACAGAGAUACGACAUCGAAACAUUGUGAAGUUUUAUGGAUUUUGCUCACAUGCCCGACACUGUUUUUUGGUCUAUGAAUUUCUUGAAAGGGGUAGCUUGGCUGCGAUCUUGAGCAUUGAUGCAGCAGCACAAGAACUGGGUUGGAGUCAGAGAAUGAAUGGGAUCAAAGGCGUAGCUGAUGCUUUGUCUUACUUGCACCAUGACUGCCUUCCUCCGAUUGUCCAUCGGGACAUAUCAAGUAAGAACUUGUUGCUGGAUUUGGAAUAUGAAGCUCAUGUUGCAGACUUUGGAAUAGCUUUUACAAGUCUAUUUAGUAUUUGUUUGUUGCCAUUUUGAGGAGUCUGCGGUAACAGAACAAUGUAACUAGAUAUUGUUGAAACAAUUAUGUAGUACAUUCAGUAGACUUGUAAAAGCUUACUAGUUUAUGCACAUUUAUCUGAGAAACAGAGUAAACAUUUUUUUUUUUGGGUCCUUGACCUUGCAGAGCUUGCUUACACAAUGAAGAUCACAGAGAAAUGCGAUGUGUACAGUUUUGGAGUGUUAGUGUUGGAAGUAAUCAAAGGGAAGCAUCCAAGAGAUUUUCUGUCUUCGAUUUCAUAUUCAUCUCUCAGCACGGAUAUAAAACUUGAUGAAAUGUUGGACCCGCGUCUUCCAGCUCCAUCACGCAGUGUUCAAGAAAAAUUGAUACCAAUCGUAGAGGUUGCGUUUUCAUGCUUAAAUGAGAAUCCGGAGUCUAGACCAACUAUGAAGAUAGUCAGUCAACAAUUGCGGAUUUCAGCUGCCUUGACUGAGUCUUAAUUUUCUAAGUACACUUCUAAUUUGCUUGGUUUUCUUUUUUCAUGUACUCUAGUUUGUUUGAUCUAGUUUUCAAGAAUCAGGAGGCGUUGGUUAUUUCGUCAUGCAUAUAUACUUGGUAUAUGGUGUACUCUUUCAUUUAUAAAUAAAAUAAAGUUUGCUCAUUCCUUAGAGGUUUAGUUAAAAGAACGUAUGGGGCAGCGGUGAGCAUAUUUGAGGACAUGUGGAGUCGGUACAAUGAAGACCAAGAUUUAGUAAGACAGUUUGUAAUAAUUAAAAAUAAUAAUUUCUCGCGACAUGUAUGAACCCCUCAAAUGUAAACUUGAAAGUGUGUACCACUGUAUUAAUUAAUGGGUGGCUCUAACUUAUUGAUAAUAUUAAAUUAAAUUUUAAAAGAAAGGAAUAGACUGGGGAAAAAAUUAAAAAUUGAGGAUAAUUUACAAUGUAUCCUUGUGAUUUAACCGAAAAUCAAAUAAACAGAUAAUAAUUAGUAUUUUUUUUUUUUUUUGGGAAUGAUUUAAUUUACACUUGAUUCUUAUACCGACCUCUACCAAGUUAAUCUUUUUUCAGGAUGUUUAAUUUUGUUAUGUCAAAGUUAGUUGAUGUCCUAUAUUUGAUCAAUGUGGAUGGCUGAUCAAAAUUAAAGAAUCCUUGAACGAGAUUGAGGGCUUGACAGAGAUACGACAUCAGAGUAUUGUAAAACAUGACCUGACAUUCAAUUUUAGUUUAUGAAUUUCUUGAAAGGGGUAGCUUGGCCAUAAUCUUGAGCAACAAUGCAGCCACAUAAGAGUUAAGCGGGCUGGAGUCAGAAUGAGUGGGAAAAAAGGCGUUGCCGAUGCCUUAUAAUAUUCGUUUGUUGCCAUUUUGAGGAAACAUUUUUCUUUUUUAGCAAACAUUUUUCUCUCUCUUUUUAUUUGUCCUUGACCUUGCAGAGCUUGCUUACACAAUCAAGAUCCCAGAAAAAUACGACGUGUACAGUUUUGGAGUGUUAGUAUUGGAAGUGAUCAAGGGAAAGCAUCCAGAGAUCAGAUGUUCUUUCCACAGUUUCAGCUUCAUCUUCCAAUGCCCCUUGAUGAAAUGUUGGAUCCUCGGCUUCCACCCGAUCCAUUGUUCGAUGUUCAGAGGAAGUUAGUAUCAAUCACGAAGGUUGCCUUCUCUUACUUAAAUGGGAAUCCAGAAUCCAGAUUGAUCAUUAUUAUUGUUCGAGUUUCAAAUAUUUGCCUUCAUUUCUCAUUGUUGCACAAGUAAAUUAUACGUAUCAUGCUUAUGCAGGCCUUAUUUCGGAACAAAAGAAUGUUAAUAGAAGAAUUGUGCAACUAGAGGAGGAUGUACUUCAUAAUUAAUUAGUCUGCUUUCAACACAAAAUAUAAAAUUUAGUUGACAGAUGGCCACAAAAGACUAGCUUCGUUUUUGCUAAAAAAGAAAUAAAAUCUGCUUCUAUGACCUCUGUAAACCAACUGCUUCAAUGCCCCCAGUUUCAAAACUAUCAUCGAUACAGAGCCAUUGGACCUGGGCUACAUAUUCAACUUUUCAGAGUUCCAUUUCUAGCGAGAAGCUUUUGAGAGCAUGGACACACUUGACGCUAGAUAACCCUCGCGAGAUAUGUCCCAAAAUCUCCUCAGGACCUCAGCCAUAAUUUUGCCGCAAAAGCCGAUAGAAUUAAUGAUCCUUAUUAAUUAUGAAUUAAAUCCUCCUUUGGCUGCACAAUUUUGGAUAAAAAAUUUGGACCAGUUUCGGUGUUUGGUUGAGCUUAUGUUGACUGUUAGGCACUAAAUCCAUAGUCAAUAUUUAUCCGACAUGAGUUUCACAUGGAUCUCAAUGAACUCUUGACCAUAGAUUCUGUACCCAACACAAUAUGCUUAUGAUUUAAAAAUAAAAUAAAUCAUGUAAAUACUUUGUAUCAAUACUUAAUGCAUCGACAAUCGUUUUCUUUGUGUACGGACUUGUCGAUAAAAAAAAGUUUAAUUGUUUCUUUGUUUACAUCUGCUUAAUCUGAUUAGGAUGAAACGAAAUUAAUUGUUUCUUUGUUUUAAAAAAAAUGAAUAACUAUAAUUUCUUGAAUAUUUGAUGAAUUAACAAAAGAAUUGUGAAUGAAGUUUUGUUUGGUAUAAAGGUAUUGUAAUCUUUAAAUCACAAUUAUUAAGAAAAAUAGAGCAAUAACAAAAAAAUAAAAGUUGAUAAUAUAUAAUAAACAUAAAUUUUAAAUAAUAGUUUUAAUAAAAAUAAUAAAAAUAUUAUAAGUUUUCUAUCAUUAAAAGCAAAUUAUUUUAGUUUUCAAGUCACAAUUAUGAUAGUUACAAAUUUUUAUAUAAAUUAAUGUGGUAUAAAUUUAUUAGUAAGUUAAAAAUAUAAAAUAAUAAAAAUAAAUUAUGUGAGAUAACUAAUAUUUAAUCUAAUUAAUUUAAUUAUGUCAUGUUAAUAUGUAUAAAAUAAAUUUAUAUAAAAAAAUUGUAAUUAGGUUAUUGCUCUUGACUCUUGUAAACACUUGCUUAAUAGCCGCCCCAUUUUCUUUCACUCCUAUCCAUUGUCCACGCGUCCGACCAUGAUUGCUUCUCCGGUUCUAAUCACAAGAUUUUCGUCAAAUGGGCGAACGAGAUGGGCCCUAUCUCUGCGCAGACCACACCGUCUAUUCUCUCAGUGAAAAGAAAAUAAAACUAUUUAAAAUCUCUAAAUAUAAAUUGAAUUCAACUCUUUUUUUUAUCUUUCAUUUAUAAAUAGUAAAUUAAAAAAUCAAAAGAAUUCAACUGAAUAUUCCUUUUGAAAAAUUAUACGGUAGCGAACUUCCUUGCAUGAAUAUGAUCUUAAUUCAAUUUAUUAAACAUACUUAUAUGGGGUUCAACUAUGUUGCAACAGUUAUAAAGUAUCUCACUUAGGGAUGGCAAAAUCCUCCACGGGUUUGGGGCCCCAUGGAGCCUCACCCCAAAUGGAAAAAAUUUUGAAUAAUUUUUUAGGAAUGGGGUGGGGAGUGGGGAAAAAUAAUCCCCAAAUUCUUAAUGGGGUGGGGUUUGGUUUUGUACUCCCCACCCCCACCCCAAUCCCCAUUAUAUAUAAAUAUGUUUUUAAUUUUUAUUUAAUAAUUUUUAUUUUAUCAAUUAUAAUGUCAAUUAAUAAUUUUUUUUAAUUUUUAUGCAAUAUAAACAAGAUAUGAAUGAAAGAAAAUCCUAUAAUAUUUUUCAACUCUGAAACAUUGUUAUAUUUUCUUUUCUCUUUUAAGGUGCUACGCUCUUUAAAUAUUUUUCAUUUUUAAUAUCAUUUUAAGAUAUUGUUUCAAACUUUUAGAUUUUUUUUUAAAAGAAUUUAAAUACUUUAUAAUAUGAUGAUGAUUUUAUUUAAUUUUUAACUUACUAAAAUAAUAUAUUUAUACAUAUUAUAAAAUAGAUAGAUGGAGAAUGGAGUGGGGAUGGGGAAAUCAUUCCCCACAUGAGAAUUCUCCAUCCCCACCCCACUAAAUUUAUUGGGGAAUGGGGUGGGGAAUGGAGGCAAAAAUUUCUAACGGGGUGGGGAAUGGGGUAGGCCUCCCCACCCCCACCCCACCCCAUUGCCAUCCCUAAUCUCAUUUUUUGUCUUUUGUGAUUUAACUGACGUCAAAUUUAACAGAACACCUUUUACUCCAUUUUAUAUUUACAUACAUUAUUAAAAUUUUAUUUAGCACCUUACACUCUUUUUAUUUAUUAUUUUUAUAAAUAUUAAAGUACUUAUUUGUUUACAUCCAAUACUAGUAUUGAUGGAAAGACAACAAUACCCCUAAAUUUAUAAAUUAAAAAUAAAAUUUUAAAAUUUUUUGCUUGUUCCUCUCACCUUCAUCUCCAUCAUCAUCAGUCAGUAACGAUUAAAAAAGAAAGAGAAAAUGUACCACAAAAAAAAAGAGAAAAAAAAAUCUCAAAGACUCACCCAUCACCCAUCACCUUUAUUCUCUCAAUGGUUCAUGAACAAUACAACAAUACCAAUAAAACAUAAGAACACGACUCUGACUCUUUUGAUUCUUGUUUCACCAACACAGCAAAUUCCGAGUUUAAAAGGCUUCAUUCAUAUUCUUUCAAAACUUGACAUUUCAUCAUGGUAUGGUUUAAGUUAAAAGAGUUUAUUGUUAGUUUCUACAAACUCCUUAAAGUGAUUACAUUUGACUGAUAUCUUACAUGGGGCUUCUUCUCCUUGAUGUUGAUAACUUACAUAUAAAAUAUUCUCUUCGUGUUGGGUACAAAACAAAACCAGUGCAGCCAUCACAACUUCCAAAGGCUUUACUUCUUUAUACCAAACAUUCCAAACUAUCAUAAUUGUGAAGAUAUGUGUAUAUGGACUUAAAUGAAGAAACUGGAAAAGUAGAGAGCUGUUGUGCAGAUUGACUUCAGUUGAUGGGGUCUAUUUGAUAUCUUCCGCUGACGUGGCAUGAAUUCGUUAGAAUCUGUUAUAACGAAGCCCAGCACACUGAUAUAAAACAGAGGCUGACGAAUGGUGCCUCAUACUGUGCUAAUAUCGUCUUCAUUUGUUCAUCAUUUUGCAUAGAAUCUGUUUCAUUGUGAUCUGUGCAUAAUCUUCUGUAAAUCACCUGUGAUUGGGUUAGUUCUUGAUCAAUAAUAAUGAGUAAAUUUUCCUUCUAAGUUUGCUGGUCUAUGUCUUUUGUUUUGUCUCUGGUUUAGCUUCUUUGUUCUGGCUUUUCUUGAUUCGAUUGUGUUCUUGGUGUUUCUACUCACCAAGAUUCGUGAGUCUUGCUGUGGUUUAGACUUAAAAUCUUAACAAGUGGUAUCAGAGCCUGGUGAAUUUCAGCCAUGUCUCUUCCAAGGCAUGAAAUCGAAAAAUUCACCAUUGGUGGUGAUUUCUCGCUUUGGAAGCUGAAAAUGAAAGCUCUCCUUGUGCAUCAAGGGCUUGAAUCUGCCCUGGACGAAGAAGAUCCAGAGGCCUCUACAGGUUCUGGGAUUGAUGACAAAAGGAGACAAAUACAGAAUCGAGCUCAUAGCACUCUGAUUUUGAGUCUUGGUGACUCAAUCUUGAGAGAGAUCUCUGAAGAGAAGACAGCCUUAGGAAUUUGGAACAAGGUUGAAACCCUGUGUAUGAAGAAAUCCCUGGCUCAUAGAUUGUUCUUGAAGAAAAGGUUGUACACAUUCUCAAUGAGAGAAGGGGUUACAAUACAAGAUCACAUUGACACUUUUAACAAGAUCAUUCUUGAUCUUGAAGGGGUGGAAAAUGUAAAAAUCUGUGAUGAAGACAAGGCAUUCUUCCUGCUGAGCUCUCUACCAAAGUCUUAUGAAGGCUUUGUAGAUACAAUGCUCUAUGGGAGGACCACUUUGACUCUUGAAGAUGUCAAAGCAUCCCUCAGCUCAAAGGAGAUUCAGAAGAACUGUGAGCUUGAAACAAGUAAUGGUGAGGGGCUGAUGGCAAGAACAGAAAAGAAGAAAGAUCAGAAGAACAAAAAUCAAGGAAAAGGGCAUGGAAAGAACCAAGAAACUGCAGACAAGAAGAAAAAGAAAAGAAAGUGCUUCUACUGCAGAAAGGAGGGGCAUUACAUAAGGGAUUGCUUUGAGAAGAAGAAGAAAGAAAGUCAAGAAAAGUCAGGGGAUGCAGCAGUAGCCUCUGAUGAUGGUUCUGAUGGAUAUCAAAGUGCUGAUUUACUUGUGGCCUCAAACAGCAAUACAAAAGGUCAGUGGGUCAUAGACUCUGGGUGCUCUUUUCAUUUAUGUCCUGAAAAAACCCUAUUUUACAAAUAUGAAGCUGUUGAUGGUGGUAGAGUCUUAAUGGGAAACAAUAAUGUGUGUAAUAUUGUUGGUAUUGGUUCUGUAAAGAUCAAGAUGUUUGAUGGAACUAUAAGAUCUCUACAUGAGGUGAGGCAUGCUCCUAGGCUAAAGAGAAAUUUAAUCUCUUUAGGCAUGCUAGACAGCUUAGGGUACUUCUUUAAAUCAAGAACUGGUGGUUUAGAGAUAAGAAAGGGGACUGAGAUAGUAAUGAAGGGGGUUAAAGAGAAUGGCCUAUAUGUAUUGCAAGGCUCAUCAGUGCCUGUUCAAGAGGGAGUUUCUGCUGUUUCUGAGGAAGAUAGAACCAAGUUAUGGCACCUUAGGCUUGGUCAUAUGAGUAUCAAGGGGCUGCAAGAGCUUAGUAAACAAGGGCUACUUGGUGGGGAUAGAAUCCAGCAACUGGAGUUUUGUGAAAACUGUAUUUUUGGCAAAACACACAGGUCCAAGUUUAACAAAGGGGAGCAUAUGUCUAAACAAGUUUUGGACUAUGCACAUACUGACCUUUGGGGGCCUGCUCAGGUCCCUUCCUUGAGUGGUGGCAGAUAUUUCAUGUCACUUAUUGAUGAUUACUCAAGGAAGGUAUGGAUCUACAUACUCAAGACCAAAGAUCAAGCUUUGGAAAAAUUCAAGGUCUGGAAAUCAUUGGUAGAAAAUCAGUCUGGCUUCAAGCUGAAAUGCUUGAGGACUGAUAAUGGCUUGGAAUUUUGUAGCAAAGUAUUUGAAGAAUAUUGCCAAAAACAUGGCAUAAAGAGGCACAAAACAGUGAGGUUCACCCCCCAGCAGAAUGGCUUGGCUGAAAGGAUGAACAGGACCUUGGUGGAUAAAACCAGAUGUAUGCUGAUAAAUUCAAAGCUUCCAAGGAGUUUUUGGGCAGAAGCUGUCAAUACAACAAGUUAUUUAGUUAACAGAAGCCCAUCUUCUGCAAUUGGCUUCAAAACACCAGAAGAAUUGUGGAAUGGAAAACCAGCAAACUACCAAAAUCUCAGAGUUUUUGGGUGCCCUGCUUACCUCCACAUCAAUCAAGGCAAGCUGGAAGCAAGGGCCUUGAAAGGAGUCUUUGUUGGAUAUCCUGAUGGGGUUAAGGGGUACAAAAUCUGGUGUAAGGAUCAAGGGAAAUGCAUAGUCAGCAGGGAUGUUGUGUUUCAUGAAUCUGUAUUGCUGAAAGAAAGUGCAGAACAUGAUGCUGGACUGCAAGACAAUCCAGCAGCUAACAAACAAUCUGGAUCUAAAACUUCCAAGGUUAAGGUGGAGCUAUUGACUGAUAAAAGCAGUGAAAAAGAAGCAGCUUCUGAUGAUGAGAGGGCCACAGCUGAAAGUGAGGAACAUGAGGUAUCAGAAUUGCCAUAAGCUGACUUACAUAACUAUCAGUUAGCUAGAGAUAGAGUUAGAAGGGAAGUCAGAGCACCAGCGAGGUAUGGCUAUGCUGACUUAAUUGCCUAUGCACUAUUGUGUGUUGAUGAAGUGACAAUUGAAGAGCCUGCUAACUUCUCUAAAGCCAUGGAAAGUGUGCACUGUGACAAGUGGCUUGAGGCAAUGCAAGAUGAAAUGGAGUCACUUCAAAGAAAUCAGACCUGGACACUUAUACCAAAUCCAGGAAACAAGAGGUUGAUCAGCUGUAAGUGGAUUUUCAAGAGGAAUGAAGGAAUUCCAGAUGUUGAACCUCCCAAAUAUAAAGCAAGGCUAGUGGCUAGGGGUUUUACACAGAGGGAAGGUGUAGAUUUCAAUGAAAUUUUUUCUCCUGUAGUGAAGCACAGUUCAAUAAGAAUCUUAUUAGCCAUGGUAGCUUUACUUGACUUAGAGCUGGAGCAGAUGGAUGUAAAAACAGCCUUCCUUCAUGGUAAUCUUGAAGAACAAAUAUUGAUGGCACAGCCUGAAGGAUUUGAGUGUAAAGGAAAGGAGGAUUAUGUUUGUUUGCUGCAUAAGUCCUUGUAUGGACUCAAGCAAUCCCCUCGACAGUGGUACAGAAGGUUUGAUGAUUUUAUGGUCUCAAAGGGCUAUCACAGAAGCAGAUAUGACAGCUGUGUUUACUUUGGUGGAUCAGAUCAAGGUGGAGUUGCUUAUUUGCUUCUGUAUGUUGACGAUAUGUUAAUUGCAAGCAAAUACAAGUCAGAGAUAGAGAGGUUAAAGAAUCUGUUAAAGGCUGAGUUUGAAAUGAAGGAUCUUGGCAAUGCCAAAAGAAUCCUUGGGAUGGACAUUAUCAGAGAUAGAUCUGCUGGCACUUUAUUCUUGAGUCAAGAGAAAUAUAUCAAGAAAGUUCUGGAGAGGUUUGAGAUGCAAGACUGUAAACCUGUUCAGACUCCACUUGGUCCACAAUUCAAGUUGUCAGCAGCUCCAACAUCAGAAGAUGAGUCUCAGAUGAAUGAAUUCCCAUAUGCACAGGCUGUGGGGAGCUUGAUGUAUGCAAUGGUAUGCACCAGGUCAGACAUAGCUUAUGCAGUAAGUGUUGUCAGCAGAUAUCUCAGUUGUCCAGGCAAGGUUCACUGGAAUGCUGUCAAAUGGAUAAUGAGGUAUCUAAAGGGUUCUUCUACUUGUGGUUUGCUGUAUGGGAAGACUAAGAGUGACAAAAUUGAAGUCAUGGGGUUUGUAGACUCUGACUUUGCUGGAGAUCUUGACAAAAGAAAGUCUACAUCAGGAUAUAUGUUUGUGUUAAAUAGUUGCCUGAUCAGCUGGAAGUCAUCUCUUCAGUCUGUUGUUGCUUUAUCCUCAACUGAAGCUGAGUUCAUUGCAACUACAGAGGCAGUAAAAGAGGCCAUGUGGCUGAGGGGCUUGCUUAAUGAGCUAUGGUUAAAUCAGAAAACUGUUCAGGUUUUUUGUGAUAACCAAAGUGCCAUACACUUGGUGAAGAAUCAAAUGUAUCAUGAAAGAACCAAGCACAUUGAUGUGAAGCUCCAGUUUAUCAGAGAUGAAGUUGGAAAGGGUACAGUGGUUGUGUCCAAGAUCCAUACCAGUGUGAAUCCAGCUGAUGCUCUAACAAAAUCACUUCCCACUGCAAAAUUUGAGUUCUGUGUGAAUCUAAUGGGCAUCAUGCCCAAAUCUAACUAAAUUCAAGAAGAUGAAUUGUAGUUGAAUGAAGGUUUUUAGGUGCUGUAUUAUUGAAGGGAUCAACUGAAUCAACUGCAAGGUGGAGAUUGUGAAGAUAUGUGUAUAUGGACUUAAAUGAAGAAACUGGAAAAGUAGAGAGCUGUUGUGCAGAUUGACUUCAGUUGAUGGGGUCUAUUUGAUAUCUUCCGCUGACGUGGCAUGAAUUCGUUAUAAUCUGUUAUAACGAAGCCCAGCACACUGAUAUAAAACAGAGGCUGACGAAUGGUGCCUCAUACUGUGCUAAUAUCGUCUUCAUUUGUUCAUCAUUUUGCAUAGAAUCUGUUUCAUUGUGAUCUGUGCAUAAUCUUCUGUAAAUCACCUGUGAUUGGGUUAGUUCUUGAUCAAUAAUAAUGAGUAAAUUUUCCUUCUAAGUUUGCUGGUCUGUGUCUUUUGUUUUGUCUCUGGUUUAGCUUCUUUGUUCUGGCUUUUCUUGAUUCGAUUGUGUUCUUGGUGUUUCUACUCACCAAGAUUCGUGAGUCUUGCUGUGGUUUAGACUUAAAAUCUUAACAAUAAUUAUAUCAAUUCUAACUUAACACCUUGUAAUUCAUUUUACACAAAAUGGAUCUCCUGUAAGAAUGUCGCAAAAGACAGCUUCAAACUGGCUAAGGGCAAGAAGAGCACUUGCAGCACCAGAAGUUUCUUUCCUAAGCUCAUCAGCAAAACCAAAACUUACAGAAACAGGCAAAUAAGCAUGAACCGUGAAAAGUGCAGAACCUUCCUGCAUUCCCUCCUUCAGCACCCAGGCCCGCCUUCGGGAAACCACUCCAUACAUUUUACUCAAAGAAUCAACUGGUGUGUUCAACUCACAAAAAUACAUGGCUUCAACAAGUCGGGGUUUCUUCUUGAGCACAGCUUGUCUACAUGCAUCUUUAACAGCUGUCAUAACUUGCCCAGAGAAGAUGCCAUGCUGCUCAGAUUGUUGGGAAGUUUCAGAGUCAACUUAUUUCCCAGCCAUAGGAGAGAUGUAAGCCUCAACAAUUGUCGAAGUUCCGUCCUUGACAACCAAGAUCCGUCGGUAAUUGGCGUCGGAAACAACCUCAGUCUCUCCCUACUCCGUGCUCCCAAACUCAGCUCAUUCUUUGACUAUUUGUUGUACUUCGUCACCGCAAACUGCCCGAUCUCUCUCAUAUGCGGCUCCUUGGGGUCUUCUAUCGGCUUCCAUCCCUCACCCAAGACUCCUUUACGGUCGACGACGGCCAGGAGAGGGAUUGUUGCCACGGCUUUUCAUGACCCCAAAAUGCCUAAAUCUUGCGCUUUAUCCGUUUUCUUAAACCUUUGUCAAGAAGGGUAAUUUUGUCUUUUUAAGAUUUAUGAACAAAUUAUACAUGAAAGGAGUGCAGGGUGCUCAAUGAUAUUUAAAUCAUAAAAAACAAAAGUCGGGGUACGGUAGAACUGUUGCAACAUAGCUGAACCCACUUAUAUGUUACUUUAACGGACAAAACUAUGGUGCAACUGUGGUACCAUACCACAGCUGCACCUAACCAUUAGAUCCAGCUGCACUCAUGUACUAUAGCUAGAAUCCAUGGGNNNNNNNNNNNNNNNNNNNNNNNNNNNNNNNNNNNNNNNNNNNNNNNNNNNNNNNNNNNNNNNNNNNNNNNNNNNNNNNNNNNNNNNNNNNNNNNNNNNNNNNNNNNNNNNNNNNNNNNNNNNNNNNNNNNNNNNNNNNNNNNNNNNNNNNNNNNNNNNNNNNNNNNNNNNNNNNNNNNNNNNNNNNNNNNNNNNNNNNNNNNNNNNNNNNNNNNNNNNNNNNNNNNNNNNNNNNNNNNNNNNNNNNNNNNNNNNNNNNNNNNNNNNNNNNNNNNNNNNNNNNNNNNNNNNNNNNNNNNNNNNNNNNNNNNNNNNNNNNNNNNNNNNNNNNNNNNNNNNNNNNNNNNNNNNNNNNNNNNNNNNNNNNNNNNNNNNNNNNNNNNNNNNNNNNNNNNNNNNNNNNNNNNNNNNNNNNNNNNNNNNNNNNNNNNNNNNNNNNNNNNNNNNNNNNNNNNNNNNNNNNNNNNNNNNNNNNNNNNNNNNNNNNNNNNNNNNNNNNNNNNNNNNNNNNNNNNNNNNNNNNNNNNNNNNNNNNNNNNNNNNNNNNNNNNNNNNNNNNNNNNNNNNNNNNNNNNNNNNNNNNNNNNNNNNNNNNNNNNNNNNNNNNNNNNNNNNNNNNNNNNNNNNNNNNNNNNNNNNNNNNNNNNNNNNNNNNNNNNNNNNNNNNNNNNNNNNNNNNNNNNNNNNNNNNNNNNNNNNNNNNNNNNNNNNNNNNNNNNNNNNNNNNNNNNNNNNNNNNNNNNNNNNNNNNNNNNNNNNNNNNNNNNNNNNNNNNNNNNNNNNNNNNNNNNNNNNNNNNNNNNNNNNNNNNNNNNNNNNNNNNNNNNNNNNNNNNNNNNNNNNNNNNNNNNNNNNNNNNNNNNNNNCACCAUAGCUGGACCCUACUUUAACAUGCCUUUUUCUUAUAGUUUACAAAAUGUAGUGCUUAUUUUCUUUCGAAUACCAAACAGUGGAGGUGUAUAUUAAGUUGAAGAAAAUAUAAUAUUAUAAACUAACACUAUGUUGUAUCAUACUUGGUAAAAUAUUUAGUGUUAACAUCUAUGAAAAUAUUAUUAAAUCCUCAAUCAAAAAUCUUCAUCGUAUUAAACAAUUUUUUAUGUAAUAUGAACUAUGUAUUUUGUUAUAAUGGAAGCUGUUAAGAAAGGUUGUCUCAACUUUAUAUUAAGAUUUUGUACUUAUAAAUAAAUAUAUAGUAUGAUCUAAACCUUACAUUUAUAAAAUUUUUUCAUAACUUAGCUAUCUAUAAAAGAUUUAACAAUUUCUUAAUUCUUCAUCAUAAAUAGUAGCAUAUUAUAAUACAAUAUAAAAUUUACCUUAAAGUUAAUUUAUUACUGCCACAUUAUAAAUCUGUAGAAUUAAUUUGAAUUGGUAAUAUUAUGACGCCAAAGAAAGGUAUAUCAAAUUUGGUUAGAACUGCCUAUUGAAGUAACAUAUACGUAUUUGUAUGGAUACAUUAUGUAGCAAAAAAAAUGAAGAUUUUUGUAACAAACUUGACAAAUAUCUAAAUUGCAGUGUUGAUGAUAAAUAAUUAAUCUCUUUUACAAUCCAUUUGCUUUUAGUCUAAAUCAAAAGAAAGAUAAUAAAUUCACGGAACUUUUGCCUUAAAAAAGCAAACGAUCCAAAUUAGAUAAAUAGUCAACCAAUUAAUCAAACAAACAAGGUCCCCUGCAUUUAAUGAGAACUUAAGCUUUUGCUUUAUCUCAGCAACAAGUUGGGUUUUAUGUGAUUUAAGAUUAAAAUAUUAAUGAAACUACAAAAUUAUGUCAUUUAAGAAAUUAUAUUUAAGUAUUUACUUAAUUAAAGUUUUAGUUAACCACUGAGUGACUUAGAUUUAAAAUUUUAGAUAAGACUCUAGUUGAUCUCUCAUGUGAGAAUGUUAAUUCACUUACUUAGCAUUAUGUGGCAUUUUCUUUAAAGAUUUUGAAUUAUUUGAUGGUUGUGAGAGUCAUAUUUAAAAUAAUAAAAAUUAAUGUAAUUAUCAUGUUAAUGGGACCGCAUUAGAGUCAUUAAUUCAUAAAAGAAUAUUAAUUCAUAAAAGAUUUUGAAUUUCUUAAAGUAAAAUUUAAAGAAAGCGGUUUUACUUUUUUUUUUCCUUACGCACUAAAGCAUUGAAUGUGUGGUGCUUUUUUUUUAAUUGAUAAAAAUAUUAAUGGAUAACAACAAAUGUGUGGCUUCUAUAGAGAUAUAAAUAAAAUAAUGUUAAAUAGAGAUUUUGUAUGAAUAAAUAAGAUUAAAAUCGUCAUUAUAACGUUAAAAAGGAGAUUUUGUAGGGAUUUGAUAAUUUAUUUAUGACAAUUUUGUAGGAUUAAAAUUGUUAUUAAAUAUAAAUGAAUAAUUUUAUAGCUAUAAUGUUAGAGAGAAAUUUGGGGCCUUUAUAUUUAGUGGAGCUCAUUGCCCAAGUUACUUAGAGAAAGAGCUGUUCUUAGUUAACAUCACAUCUACAAAUUGACUUUAAAUUUCUAAUGAAUCGGUCAUAACAUUCUUUUUUUGCUAAAUACUCAUAAAUAUUUAAGUUAUUACAUAAAGAUCCAAUGUUAACACUUAAUAAAAUUGUAUAAAUUCGAUAACAAAAACAUUGAAUUCAAAUAAAAGGAAAAUUUACGUGUAGUUCAGUUAGUCUUGGAAUGACAUAGUACUCAUAUAGAGUUAUGAUGUUCAAUAAUUAUUACGACCAAAAUAAAAUUUUUGAUUGGCCAUAUCUUUCAGAUUUGUAAUCAAAUGGUAGAUGUUUUAACUAAAUUUGUAUUCUAUUGCUUUGAUUUUUAUGUUUGGCUAGAUCCCAGCUAAUUAUCUUGUUAUUUUUUAUAGGUUAUUUGUAAAUAAAUGAAGUCUAUUAUUCAGAAAAAUAAUUACCUGCAAAAAUCGUACUCUAUUUUCAAUUAUUCGUAUCCAAAAGCAAAAUCUUACAAAAAGGUAAUAAUAUUCCGAAUUAAUUAAAAAACGACACGUAAGCAGGCAAGUCCACACGAAACCACCGAAAAGCACAAAAAAAAAAAAAGAAACACGUUCAUUCAAUUUAUUGUGAUACGAUAAAUGCUUAACAAAAUGUCAUAUCAAUUUCACCAUCAAAACUACGGUAUUUUUUUCUAUAUAUUAAAGAAUUUUUUUAAAAGCAAAUAAAAACCCAAAAAAACAAAAAAAAAGCGACAAUUGUGCUGAAACUCACCGUUCCCAGUUUCCCAAUGAAUAAAAUAAAUAUAAAGGACUCGUGCGUGCCUUCCAUUUCCCUCCUGUUUUUGUUACCCGCCUCCUCCUCAUCUCGCCACCUGUUUCCCCCACUACACCCCCAAAACGUCACCGUUUCAUUCUCACUCCUUCCUCACACCCCUCUCCUUUUCCCCACAUUCCUUCGUUUCAUAUCAACUCAAAAAUUCAUUCUUUCAACAUUAAUAAUAAUAAUUUUAUUGAAAUAAAUCAAUCAAAAAGGUAACCCCAAAUAUCUCCUCCAGCUUUUUGCUGCUUCUUAAUUUUGAUCGACUAUGACGAUGUACUAAAGCUUCAAUUUUUUUCGGUUUUUUCAGUCAACGCUUUUGCUUCAAGAUUUCGUUUUACCUUCCUUGAAAAUUAAAGCUCACCUAAUUGAUACGAUUAAAAUUCUUUUUUUAGCUGAAGAUUGAUACAAUUUUCACUUCAUUUUUUUCUUAACUUUGUAUCCGGAUUUGCUACUUUUGUUUAAAGUUUUUUAUUUUUUUUAUAUUUUUCUGUGGAGCUAAGCAUGACUUUGGUUACAGCUUUAUAUUAUUUUAACAUAUAAUUAGACUAAUUUAUUUAUUUGUGGAUUUAUUAUUUUUUAAAUAUGGUUUGAGACUUCUGAUGUUUCAAUAUUUAUUGCACACGUGUAGUGCAGUGGCUUUAAUGAAUGUGGUAUUGUAAAGUUUAAAGCUUUUUGCAUGUGAAUGAGUUGGUGUGUACUCUUCCAUUGAUGUUUAGAUUCAUGUAUGUGGUGAUCUCUGAUCUGGGUACACGUUAGAUUUUAAUUUUAUUGUUACUUAAACUGAUGAACACGAAUUUUGAAGUGAAUACGUGUGUUUGAUUGACUGGAUUUUGUAAGAUUCCUUUGUAGAAGUAUUUUAAUCCCACGAAGAGUAUGAUUCAGCAAAUAGCUUUGGGAAUGGUAUUGAUUCUAUUCUUGUUUGUUUAUUCAUAUAAUAACUUUGAUGCAACCUUCAGAUUCCUUUUGAACCAUGUAGUUAUAUAUUUGGAUUAGUUUAUAGCAUAUCAACUGUUGAUUGUUGCAUUUAGAUGUUUUUUGUUACUUCCGCUCUUGAUUGCUUAUUAUAUGUCAGUUAAAGAGCAAACAUUAUACAAGUUCUUGAUUGAUUAGUGCUCUUUCGUAUAACGGGUUCGUGACUGAUGUUCACUUUCUUAUUUGAAUAUUCAGAUACUUCCGUAGCUGAUGGCUUCGCCGGAUAUUGAGUCUCCCUGGCUUUGUGCCGCUGGUGAAUCCGUCUGUGGGUCGUUUAAUAUACGCGUGGAGGAGGGGAAUGCAGCCGAUAUUUUACAUGUGCUGGAAGUUCCCACCUCUUCUGUACCCUAUAACUGUAGUAUACCCAAGCCACCCCCUCUCCCUAUUAAACCCUGUACAAAAAACAAAUAUCCCAAUAGAUUUUUACAUUGUAGUUUUGUUCCAAAGGAAACAAAGGAUGUAUGGGAUAAGCUUUUCAAGGAAGGAAAUGGUGCAGAUGUCUAUAUUAUCACCAAGGACGAAUCCUGUAUUCAAGCUCAUUCCAGUAUACUGGUGAGUUAAUUGAACUUUGCCUUCUCUGUUAAAGUAGAGCUACCCCGGGUUUUCUCAAUGACAAUUGCUUUAGUACUGUAAAGUAAUUUCACUUCGGAGAUGUUAUGGAUGUUAAAUAGAUGGUCCAGUGGCUAAGUUAGCAAUUUUAGAACCUGGCUGAAGAGUUGGCAUCUAUUCAACAUAAAUAUACAGUGUUUGGAAUUACUCUGUUUAUAAAUGGAUAGAAGAAAUCCUGGGACCAUCUAACCUGUGCUGGGGAAUAUUCUGCAGCAAUCAAAAGCAAAGAAUGGUUUCAGAUAUAUCAAAAUUCCUGGGAUGCCUCAUGAAGCUGUCUAUGCAUUCGUUCGUUUUCUCUAUUCCUCCUGGUAUGUUGAAAGAAUGUUGCUAUAUUCUCAUUGUGCUUAAAACGAUCAAUAUGGUUUUCGGAGGAUUUGCAUGUUACUGAUUUAUUGGGUCCUAGAUUCCUUGAAAAUGAAUUAUUAUGGGUGUUGAUGAUUGAAAAAGGGGUCCAUGAUAUAUCAAAAUUGCUUGGUUUAUUUUUCUCAUGCACUGUAGUUCGUUUGUUCUAGUUUUCAAGAAUCGUGAGGCGUUGGUUAUUACGUCAUCCAUAUAUGCUUGGUAUAUGGUGUACUCUUUCAUUUAUAAAUAAAAUAAAGUUUGCUCAUUCCUUAGAGGUUUAAUGACAUCCAUCUCUGUAUAUAUAAAAGACUACGUCCAAUCAAAGUUUUGAUUUUAAAUAUAUUUUAGUUUGAAGGGCAUACGGAGCAGUGAUGAACACAUUUGACGAGUUGGAAUGGGGGAUAUGUUGAAGAGUUUUGUAACUAAAAUGUUGUAGCUCAAAACCAACUAACUUUUUCCUUUUCAGUUGAUUAAAUUCAUGACAAUACAAGAAAAGCUUUUAGUGUACGAGCCUUAGUAUAAUUUUUUAAAUAGAGCUUAUUUUACUAUAGCUUUAUUAGUUGAGCUUUUACAAGUAAAAUUUUUAAAUAAAAAAGAAUUAAUUAUUUGAUUGUUAACGAUAUUUUUUAUUUCUUUUAAAAUUAUGUUGUGAAAGAAAUGAAAUAAGAUUGUCAAAUAAGUAAAUGAUAGUUUUAAAAUUUUAACAUUUUAAAAAGCUUAUCAACCUUUACUGUCAAAAAUCCAAAAUUUGAGCUUUUGUUUGCAACGGUAAAAUAACUUAUUUAAUCAUCAAAAAUUCUAUUAAAAAAUUAACUAACAAUAAUAAUAAAUUUUAAAAGAGAUUAUGAGAUUAAAUAAAUACUUAUGGUCAUUAGAUAAGUGAUGCUAAGCAAAGACUAAAAAAUCAAAAAGAAAUAAAAAAACGCAACAGAUCAGCUUAUGGGAGACAAAAUGAGUUUUACCUUAAUUAAAUACAAGAAAUAAAAAAAUUGAGAAGCUCCACGCAGAGAGCAAGAAAAGUAGAGAACCAAAAGUUAACAUAAAUAAUAGUUUGAAAAGCCAUUAGCAUCUCUAGAAAGAAAAACUGAAGCUUAUGCAAGAGGUCAAGACCACAAGUGAAAGAAAAGGUAAAGCGUCUACAUGAGGUAAAGAUCACCAAAUAAAGUCUGUACAAUGAAGCUCAGGAUUAACAAUGACAAUCUUGAGCAGUAAUGCAACAUCAAAAGAAUUUAUUCGGUUGGAGUCAAAGAAUGAAUGUGAUAAUUGUUGAUGCCAAAAUCUGCUCGUCCGUGGACCGACCAGAUUCGCUCACCAACGUUUAAGUUCUCGACUGCUGCUUGAACCGCUAAGGCUGCAAUUAACCUUCUCUCUCUCUCACUAGACCUGCGUACACCAAAAACGGAUCAGAGACGCCGGUGGUUUUGCCGGCGUAAACCCUCCGAUGCCUAAGUUAGCACAAGGUGUUUACGGGAAAGCGAUUAAAUUUGGAUUUACGAAUGGUUCGAGAUUUGCUCAAAGUUUAUAGGAAAAUGGCCUGGUUGCAAUUUGGCAGCGUUUUCCCUCUCUCAGUUUUUCUGUCCCUUCUUCAUCGAUUUCUUCUCAUUUUAUAGCCGCUGCCCCCACGUUUUCGUUUGCCCUUCAUCCCACCUUUUUCGGGUAGUGGCAACCCCUCAUGGGACUCUAACUGUUACAUUGUGGGCAAACGUGGAUCUCGCGUGUCCUUCGACGGUUCUGGAAAAGCGUAACUACUGUGAUUUCGUGGGAUCGUGUUCCCGCUUUUCCGGGGAUGAAUGUCGGCUCGGUAUAUACCUCUGGUCGGUAUGUUUCCUUGGUUGUAUCCAUCUCUGGUCCGCUCAUGCUCGCCCCCGUGUUCUGCUCAUAUCAUUUUGGCUGAAGCAAUCCGUGCCGGGGCGAGAAUAGUAGCAUGGUCGACCUGGUGCCGACCUGGUGCCGACCUGGUGCUCUUAUGUACUCAACACCAGUCCCCCAGUUUCUGGUCUGGUGAGUGAAAUGAAUGAAGAGCAGAAACUGAUGGUCAAAUCUCGCCAACCCGGGGAACUUCUCAUCUGGUCUUUUGUUUGCUGGGGCGGACCUGAGGUACCAUCCUUGUUCUGGGGGGAUUCCGACCUGAGCAUGGGCCUAAAUAAGCAUGCCCAUUGCAUAUCUGGGCUUGCAUCUAUCCUGGCCUCUCGUAACGGUUGGUGACGUGGCGCUUCCCGACUCUCCGUAUUUGAAAUUUGAAACGACGGGCUAUUCGUCCUCGAUAUAUGGGGGGUGAGCUGGCAUAUCCCAUCACUUAAAUGCUUCCAUUUCCCCCUUUUUCGUUUCAAAUCCCUAGACUGGAGUCAUCAUCCUUUUGUUAUUCGUUUCUCCGCCGUCAACCAAAUUUUCUCUGAACUUUGCUUACACUUCCAGCGUCCGGAGUAUCCAUUUGCCGGGUGUUUUCUCUGUCACGGCAGCGCUAUCAGUGUCAGUCUAUUCCAGGUAUAGUCUUUUAACUUCUCCUCUGGUUGUUGUUGAUUGGGUUCUGUGUUGCCCUCUUUGUGUCCAUAUACUUGAGUUUUCUCUGUUUUCUUUUGGGGAUUCCGGUAUGUCAAAUCGGAAGAGGAAGUUAAUUAUUGAUGAGGGUGAUGAAGAGUCAGGGGACUCAGGCCUCAAUGUGCCAAUGCCCACUGAUUACUUAGACCCCUCUAGUAGUGUAGGUCCUUCCCAUGGCAGGGAUACCCUUGAAUACCCACGCCCUUUGGUUAUCUCUCCUUCCCCCGAACUAGAGCUUGUAGGGAAUAGAGGUGGACCUGCGUCGGGCUCUGGUGAGAAUCACGGUUCUGGUGGGGUUGGGGUCCUUGAAGGAGUUGGUGAUGGUGAGGGGAGCAGUUCCGGACCGAGCCGACCUGCUCAGAAAAGGAACCUAGGCCAUAGGGUGGAGGCUGAUUCCUACCCUAUUGAUUUCAUGGCUUGUGCCACCACCCCCACCGAUCUAUUUAAACUUAGGAAUCUCUACAACAUCCCCAGCGAUGUUCUUCUUGUAGUUCCUGGGAAGGGUGAUGUUCCUAGUCGGCCUCCGCGGGGGUAUGUGACGAUGCAUCUGGAGAGCUUCAAAUUAGGAGCUCGGCUACCCCUUCAACGCUAUUUUGCUAAGAUACUAGGUGGUAUGCACCUGGCCCCAGGUCAGCUACACCCCAACGGUUGAAGGGUUCUCUCGGCUAUGUAUGUGUUGUGGGAGAGGUGUGGAUCAGAGGAGCCCUCCCUUGUUGAAGUGAAACAUCUGUAUCAGCUGCGGAGCAGCCCAAGGGAGGCGGGCUGGUACUACUUCAUGUCCAGUUCUGCGAAGAGAAAGCCAAUCACCGGUUUCCCCUCCUCCUGCAAAAAUUGGAAGAACAAAUUCUUCUUUGCUGGGGGAAAUUGGUGUUCAGCACUCCGUUCGUUGGGUGGUGAUGUUUACGUUCCAACGCAGUUUGUCACCCCAGGUCGUUCAUUUUUUACCUGUAUUCUUUCUCGAAUUGCCACUUAUUGGGUUCUUUAACCUUGUUUGUUAUUUCAGAGUCAUGGGGUUUGAUCGGGGGGCUUGAAGAUCGACCCUUGCUUCAGGUGGAAACUACUCUGGUGAACGCUUCUACUUGCCAAGACCUCCUGUCUCCAACAAACCUGGUCGAUUCGGGCCUAGUGGAUAUAGCUGCUGGAAUGGAUAACAAGAUCCUCAGCGCGAUGAGCAGGAAGCGUGGUCGGGCCCCGAGUAGCUCCAGCAACCCCCCUCCUCCUCCGAAGAAACUUAGCGUUGGUCCUUCCAAGGCGCCUGUUCCUGCUCUGCCUCCUCCUCCACCUCGUAAGAGUGGUGGGGAGAAAACCUCUGACAAGAGUCCUGAGGUCAGCUUGCAGUCUGGGGACCGAUCUUCUCCUCUACCAUCUCGGGAUCAAGUGGACUACCUGAGCCCGUAUCAGAAGGAUUACAAAAAGGCGGUGGGGCCCAAGAUGGUGAAGGACAUCGAGAGUAUGAAUCUCUCCGAAUUAGCUGCUUCUGUUCAGAGAGUGUCCUUCAAGCUGGCCACUAUGGUUUCGUGCUACAAGAUUGGGACUGCGCGCCAUGAGAAGAAGCUCCAAGCUGACAAUCAGGAAUUGAAGAAGAAAGCUGACUCUGCUGACCGCUCCAAGGAGAAACUGGCUGAGCUGAACAAGCAGAUUGCGGAGCUAGAGGAGAAGGUUGCGGUUGCUGAAUCCACUUCCUCCAAACUCGAGGGCGAGUUGGGUGACUUGAGAUCUGAUCUUCAGGCUACUCAAACAGAAAGGGAUACUUUGAGGGUCGCCCUUGAGGAGGAAAUCAAAUCCUUGGGUGAGCAGCUGGCCGAGGAGAAAGGCAAAUCCGCUGAUGUGGAUGAUCGGGUUGAUGCCGAGUAUGAUUCUGGGGUUGGCUUCUCCUACAAGUGCAUCAUGUCUGUGCUUAAGACAGAAUAUCCCGAGAUGGACAUGAGCAAACUGGAGGCCGGAGUACAGCGGUAUAUGGCGCAGGUCGACCAAGCAGAUAAGGAGCAGGGUGAGCAGGAGCAGGUGGAGGCCCCUUUGGAUGGGGGGCAAGAGGGGGAAGCUGGGGGACGCACUUUCGAAAUGGGUCAAGGGUCCAUGCCUCCUCCUUCCGGCAUUGCUGAUCUCCCACCUCCUGAUGUUGCUGAUCCCUUACUUCCCGGGCUCGCUGAUCCUUCAGCUGCUGGAGCCGCUGACUCUGCUAAGCUUUGAGUCUAUUUUUUGUAUAAACUCUAGAUUUGCAUUUGUUUUGUAAACGACUGAACAUUUAUAAAAUUUCUGGAAUGUUCUCCCUUGGCUUUCUUAUCUGGUAUUGCUUGUGAUUCUUUAGUGCAUCGAACUGGAAUAGGCAUCCGUUUGCCUUAGUAAAGUUUUCGCAGAUUUAGCUGCUGGUCUCUCGUUGACCGAACAGAAACAGACCCUUACUUGCCUUAGUGCAAAUUUGGAGAAAUUAGCUGCUGGUCUUCGCUGACCGAGCAGAAGUAGGCACUUUCUUGCCUUAGUAGAUUAGCUGCUGGUCUUUCGUUUGACCGAGCAGAGGCAGGCACUUUCUUGCCUUGGUAAAAUCUUCGUAAAUUUAGCUGCUGAUCGUUCGUGGACCGAGCAGAAGUAGGCACUUGCCUUAGGAGAGUGUUCGUAGCUUUAGCUGCUGGUCAUUCGUUGACCGAGCAGAAAUAGGCACUCUGUUGCCUUAGUAGAUUAGCUGCUGGUCUUUCGUUUGACCGAGCAGAGCUGAAUUCCUCUUUAUUGAAAUUUGAAUGCGUUACAAAAGUACAAAACAUAUGCAUGUGCACCAAACCAUCAUGCAUUUGAUCAAUAUAACUUAUCAAAUUGAAGAUUUAGUAGAGUAUUUUGCUUACUGGAAAUACUUCUUCAAAUGCUCGGCGUUCCAUGACCUCUUCACGUCUCGUCCAUCUCGGUAUGCUAACUUAUAAGCUCCCGGACCAGUUGCUCGUAUCACCCUGUACGGGCCUUCCCAUUUCGGACCAAGAGCUCCAUGGUUAGGAUUCCUGGUGUUCUGGUUCACUUUCCUAAGUACCCAAUCUCCUGCUCGGAACUGCCUCACGCGUACAUUCUUGUUGUAAUAACGCAUGACCCUUUGCUGACAUUGGGCCACUUUCUUCGAGGCCCCUUCCCUUUUCUCUUCCAGCAGGUCUAGGCUUAGGCAGAUCUGCUCGUCAUUUUGCUCCUCAGCGAAAUGUUCCGUUCGAUGUGUCCCCACUCCAAUCUCUGCUGGGAUUACCGCCUCAUGACCAAAGGCUAAAGCGAACGGUGUUUCUCCUGUGGCGGUUUUGUGAGUUGUCCUGUAGGCCCACAGUACCCCUGGAAGCUCGUCAACCCAAGCUCCCUUCUUCUCUCCCAAUCUAGUCUUCAGGAGCUUCUUUAUCACCUUGUUGGCUGCUUCCACUUGUCCGUUUGCCUGGGGGUGUGCGGGGGUGCAGAACUUCAGGUCCACCCCCAGGUUUCGGCAAAACUCUCUGAAGUUGCCGUUGUCAAACUGCCUCCCAUUGUCUGUGAUGAUGGCAUAGGGGAUCCCAUAUCUGCAGAUGAUAUUUUUCCAAAUAAAAUCUGUUGUCUUCCUCUCUGUGAUCUGGCUGAGGACUCCCACUUCCACCCACUUGGUGAAGUAGUCUAUUGCCACAAUUGCAUGUGUCGCCGCUCCUCGUUCCUUAGGUAACGGACCAAUCAAGUCGAUUCCCCAUUGAGCGAAAGGCCAUGGGGAUGUCAUAGCCGUCAGCUUUUCCGGGGGUUGUGUAGGAACCUCGGAGAAGCUUUGGCAUGUUUUACAAUUCUUUGCCAUCCUCUUGGCAUCCUGGUGCAUGGUUGGCCAGAAAUAUCCUUGCCGGAGUGCCUUGAAGGCUAAAGUUCUUGCUCCCGAGUGAUUGCCGCAUAUUCCCUCAUGAAUCUCUCUCAGCACAUAAUCCGCCUCCUCAUCAUCCAAACAUCUCAACAGGGGCAAGGUGAACCCUCGGCGGUACAACACCCCAUCCAGUAGCGUAUACCUUGCUGCUCGGCAUUUCAGUUUUCUUGCUUGUCUCUUAUCCUCUGGUAAAACUCCAUCGCGGACAUACGCGCAAAUCGGGUCCAUCCAGGAUUCUCCAAUACUUACUCUCAUCACCUCUGCAUCUUCCUCAAUACUUGGUGAGGUCCUUAUCUCUAGUGGAACUGACUUCGGUAAUUUUGGAUCUGCAAUAGCAGCCAUCCUAGCCAACAUAUCUGCUCGGUAAUUCUCAUUCCGGGAUAUCUGCUUUACUUCCACCUCUUGGAAAAACCCAACCAUCUGCUUUGCCUUCUUCAAAUAAAGUCCCAAUUUCUCUUCCCUUACUUGGAACUGAUCAGUGAGCUGGUUACAUACUAGCUGGGAGUCUGCUCGGAUUUCUACCCUUUUCUGCUCGCAGCGCAUGUGCAAGACCGAGCCCAGUAAUGAAGGCCUCAUAUUCAGCUUGGUUGUUCGUAAGCUGGAACUCGAACUUCACCGCAUAGGAUGCCUCAACACCUUCUGGGCUUCGUAUUAUAACUCCUGCCCCGGAUCCCUGUUCACUACGCGAUCCAUCAACCAUUACCAGCCAUACCCCCUUUGAAUCCUCAUGUUCAGCUGAUUGUUCCUCGUGAACCUCUUCCCCUGGUUCAGCACGAUCAAUCAUAAAAUCUACCAGGGCUUGAGCCUUGAUUGCUCCUCGGGGCCUGUAGGACAAGUCGAACUCACUUAGCUCCACGGACCAUUUUACUAGUCGACCAGACACAUCUGGUUUUUGAAGCACCUGCCGAAGGGGCUGGUCAGUCAUCACAAUGAUCUGGUGGGCUUGGAAAUAUGGUCGGAGUUUGCGUGCUGCCGUUAUCAGGGCGAGCGCCCACUUCUCCAUUAGUGGAUAUCUGGUUUCUGCGUCUACCAGGGCCUUGCUUGUGUAGUAUACUGGGUGUUGCUUUCCUUUUUCUUCCCUGACUAAGACCGAGCGGGUAGCCCACUUAGAGAUUGCCAAGUACAAAAGCAGCUGGUCACCCUCUCUGGGAGUUGAUAGUAACGGGGCGCGGGCUAGGUAUUCCUUCAACUGUCCAAAUGCCUCCUCGCAUUCUGGUGUCCAUUCCAUCUUCCUCCAUUUCUUUAUGAUUUGGAAGAAAGGGUGGCACUUAUCAGUGGCUCGCGAAAUGAAUCGGUUUAAUGCUGCCAAUUUCCCCGUAAGGCUCUGCACCUCCUUAACUGUUCUUGGGGACCGCAUUUCUAUCACCGCCCGUAUCUUUUCCGGGUUGGCCUCAAUCCCUCGAUGGCUCACCAGGUACCCCAAAAAUUUGCCCGAGCUGACCCCAAAUGCACAUUUCUCCGGGUUCAGCUUCAUUUCGUACUUCCUCAGCAAAUCAAAGGUCUAUUCCAAGUGCUUCACAUGAUCUCUCGGUUCUCUUGACUUGGUGAUCAUAUCGUCCACAUAUACUUUCAUAGUGUGGCCGAUCAAUGGUUUGAAGACCUUGUUCACUAACCUUUGAUAGGUAGCUCCAGCAUUUUUCAGGCCAAAGGGCAUCACCCUGUAACAAAACAAACCCAUGUUAGUUAUAAAGGUCGUGCUUUCCUCAUCCUGCUCGUUCAUGGGUAUCUGGUUGUAUCCGGAGAAGGCAUCCAUGAAACUGAGCAGACUAUGACCCGCGGUUGAGUCCACCAACUGGUCUAUUUUUGGUAGUGGAAAGCUGUCCUUCGGGCAUGCCUUAUUGAGGUCCGUGAAGUCUACACACAUUCUCCACUUCCCAUUGGCCUUCUUUACCAGCACUACAUUGGAAAUCCACUCCGGGUACUUGGCUUCCCUUAUAAACCCUGCUUUUAGCAGUUUUUCCACCUCGGUAUUUAUGGCUUCGUACCUCUCAUGGUUGAAGCACCUCCUUUUUUGCCUCACCGGCCUUGCCCCUUUCUUGAUUGCCAGCUUGUGGCAUGCUACCCUGCGAUCAAUACCUGGCAUAUCCUCAUGAGACCAGGCAAAUAUGUCUGCAUGGGACUGUAGACAUUUCACCAGCUCGCCUUUUAUUGGUUCGCCCAAUUCUGUUCCGACCUUAACCACUCUGCUAGGGUCACUCCUGCUUACAACAACUUCUUCCAGCUUCUCAACAGGUUCCUGGCGACCGUUUUUUGAAUCCCCUCGGUUAUCUAGAGACGUAACCUGCAGUGUUUCCUUGGCCGCUGUAGCAUAGCAGCUCCUGGCCAUUCUCUGGUCGCCCUUCACGACACCCACAACUCCAUUUAUUCUGUAUUUCAGUGCCAGGUAAUGCGUGGACAUUACACAUUGGCUUAUCCUCAUGAACGGUCUACCCAAUAUCAUCUGGUAAGGGCUCCUCUCCUCUACCACUACAAAGUCCAGCAUCAUUGUUCUUUCAAAUGGCUUUGUCCCCACAGUAAUCGGGAGUUCAAUGACCCCCAUGGGAGUUAACCGUCCCCCUCCAAAUCCCUUCAAGGAUGUAUUCGUUCGCUCCAGCUUUAAGUCUGAAAUCCCCAUAUCAUCUAGGGCGGACUUAAACAGAAUGUCUACUGAGCUGCCCGUGUCUACCAAUAUUCGCCGCAAUUCUGUGCUGGCCACCAAUGCUCUAAUCACCAGUGCAUCCUCGUGAGGGUACAAAAUGCCCUCUUCGUCGUCCUCUGUCCACAUAAUAGGGACUUGCCGCACUUUUGCCCUCUUGGCUGCUGGCAAAUUGAGAAGCACUUCCUUGCCAGUCAUGGCAUAUCUCCCAUAGUUUUUGCGUGCUCUGUUUGAAUCCCCGGCCAAUGUUGGCCCUCCUGCUAUCACCCGGAUAGUCGGCUGUUCUCGUUCUAAACCCCUUUCAACUCCUACAUCCUGUGCAUAUUGCGGCUCACUGACGGGGGACACUCCAUCUACGUACUCACCCAAGUACUGGUUUCUCACCAAAUCCUCCACCUGAAUCCUUAGGUCACGGCAUUGGUUGAUAGUAUGACCAUGAGUGUUGUGGAAUUUGCAGAACCUGCUCUUAUCACGCCGGUGAGCGGGUUUUGUUAUAGGGGCCGGAGGGUACAAUAGGCCUCGUCCCUCGAUCCUCUCAUAUAAUUCCUCCAUGGAAAUCUUUAAUUGCGUGUACUGUCUAUAUGCCGAGCUCUGGUCUACUAGCUAAACUGUUCGGCUAUCAUGAAUGUCACCUCGGGUUGGUAUAGCGGAUGGCUGCUCUGGUCGUCCCGACCUGUAAUUAGGUGCACUUAAACUUCUGGGAGUGCUGUGAUAAGGGUGGGCGGCCAUCUACCUGAAUUCUCGCUGCCGCUCUGGGAUCGGAGGGCGCGGAGGUUGGGCCCGGCUGUGUUGGAACUGUUGUGCUCUCGGAGCUAUGGGGUAAGGGCGGGUCCGAACUGAAAUUCCACCCAUCCCUGAAGAUUCUCCAGCUCGCUUUCCCGACCCGCUCCCUUUCGGGGCUCUCCGUUCCUUUUGCCUCAGCUCUUCCAGCUGUUCACUUUUAAUUCUAGCUGAUUUCUCCUCUUCGAUUUCAAUAUCUCGUCUCGCCUGCUCAUACCCUGACGAGUAAUUCUGUACGAGGGGGCUCCUUAGGUUAUACCACAAUCGGCCGAUUCUUACACCUUCUUUUAAUCCCCUCAACGCCUGCGGGUGAUUAAAAGCUCCCAAAUCCAGCACGGCUCGGUGAUAUCGUUUCACAAAGUCUCGCAGGGAUUCAUGAUCCUCCUGUUUCAUCCCCAUCAGUUCCAUCAUGUCGUCCUCCGGGGCCACUGCCCCUCGGAACUGCUCGGCCAACUCCUGGCACAUCUGCUCAUACCCUUUUAUUCCUCCUCGGGGCAGCUUGCGGUACCAUUCUCGGGCUCGUCCCUCUAGUGUCAACGGGAACACCCUGCACCUCUGAGCUGGUGUCAACCCCUGCACACCCGUCAUGUCGUUGAAACGCUCAAUGUGCACCAACGGGUCACUUCGCCCGGAGUAUUUGAGGUCGGGGAAGCGGAAAUCUCUUGGAAUUAUGGUACUCAUGAUCUCAGUUGAUAACGGAGAUUCGUCAUCUAGCAUUAUCCUCCAGCUCGGGGGCUUUCUCUUUCCCUGCAUCUCCUCUAUCACCUGCGCCAAUCUGCGCACCUCCCCCUCCAAUUCUAUGGCACGAUUAGGGUCACGUGCAGCUACCUGGUCUCGCUCCUGCUCGACGUUCUGCAACCGCUGUCUGAGCUCUCCUUCAUCGACACUUGCCCCUCGGUCAUUUAUUUCCAGUAUCCGUCCGGGGCGAGGUUGAUCUCUCCCUUCAUCCACGUGCUCCCCUAGGACCCGACCAGUACUUCGGUGGGGAUGCACCCCGUUAGGUUGGUCUGCGGGCGGAGGGAUCUCCCCGACUCUACGCCCCUGGAGGCUGGGUUCAGCUCCAACUCCAUCUCUUCCCUCGGGGGUUUCACAAUCCCUUCUCCGCUCGUCCCUCAGCUCAAACAAUACGGCCGCGAGAGUCUCCAUUUGUUUCUCCAUUCGCUCCAGUCUAUCUUGCAUCAUCCUCUCUCGGGCUUCAUUUGCAAUCUCCCGGAGAGUGAUUGUCUCCACCGUUUCAUUGUCCUCCCUUAAAGUAUCCUUUCUUGACACAUCCAUAUCCAAUCGCUUGCUGCUUCUCCGAUAAUUACUAAGUUGGUGGUAGCUUUUUAUUCAGCUCCCCACAGACGGCGCCAAAAUGUUGAUGCCAAAAUAUGCUCGUCCGUGGACCGACCAGAUUCGCUCACCAACGUUUAAGUUCUCGACUGCUGCUUGAACCGCUAAGGCUGCAAUUAACCUUCUCUCUCUCUCACUAGACCUGCGUACACCAAAAACGGAUCAGAGACGCCGGUGGUUUUGCCGGCGUAAACCCUCUGAUGCCUAAGUUAGCACAAGGUGUUUACGGGAAAGCGAUUAAAUUUGGAUUUACGAAUGGUUCGAGAUUUGCUCAAAGUUUAUAGGAAAAUGGCCUGGUUGCAAUUUGGCAGCGUUUUCCCUCUCUCAGUUUUUCUGUCCCUUCUUCAUCGAUUUCUUCUCAUUUUAUAGCCGUUGCCCCCACGUUUUCGUUUGCCCUUCAUCCCACCUUUUUCGGGUAGUGGCAAACCCUCAUGGGACUCUAACUGUUACAUUGUGGGCAAACGUGGAUCUCGCGUGUCCUUCGACGGUUCUGGAAAAGCGUAACUACUGUGAUUUCGUGGGAUCGUGUUCCCGCUUUUCCGGGGAUGAAUGUCGGCUCGGUAUAUACCUCUGGUCGGUAUGUUUCCUUGGUUGUAUCCAUCUCUGGUCCGCUCAUGCUCGCCCCCGUGUUCUGCUCAUAUCAUUUUGGCUGAAGCAAUCCGUGCCGGGGCGAGAAUAGUAGCAUGGUCGACCUGGUGCCGACCUGGUGCUCUUAUGUACUCAACAAUAAUAUUUGCUCCACGAUUUCUUUCCACCGAUUGUCCAUCGACCCGUAUCAAGCAAGGAUGUGUUGUUGUAUUUGGAAUAUGCAGCUCACUUUUCAGAUCCAGCCUUUGGAAUUGCCAAGUUUAUGAAGACAGACUCGAGCAAUUGGACUGUAUGCGCAACCACGUAUGGAUUUGUCAUUGUUGCUCCACGUAUGUAAUAUUCUUUUGAUUCCAUUUUGAGGAAUAUCAUUAUGUAACACAUUCCGUUGACUUAUGAAACAGAGUAAACCAUGUUUCUUUCUUCUUCUUUUUUUCAGUUGACUUUGCGGAGCUUGCCUACACAAUGAAGAUCACAGAACAACCCAACGUGUACAGUUUCGGAGUGCUACACUGGAAGUGAUCAAGGGGAUCCAAGAGGUUUUCUUUCCUCAGUUUCGUCUUCAUCUUCCAACAUGAACAUGCACGAGUAGCUGCUCUGCUAUAUCUAUUGAUUUUUGCUAGACUAGUCAUUAUUAUUUGAGUUUUAAAUAUUUGCCUUCAUUACUCAUUGUUGCACAAGCUAAUCGUACACAUCAUGCUAUGUAGGUCUCAAUUCGGAACAAAAGAAUGUUAGUUGAAGACACACAACACAAAAUAUAAAAAAUUAGUUCGCAGAUGGCCACAAAAGACUAGCUACAUUUCUGUCCAAAAAAAAAGAAAGAAAAGAAAUAAGAAAUAAUCUGUUUGUACGGCCUCUGUAAACCAACUGCUUCCAUGCCCCAAUUUCGAAACUAUCAUUGAUAUAGAGCCAUUAGUUCCAUCUCUCGCCUAAAGCUUCGGGAGAUAUGGUCAAAAAUCUCCUUAUCGCCAUAGUUUUGCUACAAAAGCCAAUAGAAUUAAUGAUCCUUAUAAAUUAUGAAUUACAUCCUAAUCUACUUGCAUUAUUUUGGAUUAAAAAAAUCUUGCUUUGAUCAUCAUUCCGAUUGGAAAUAUCAAACUCUAAGGCUUGUCAUUAAUUGGGACAAAAUUUUAAUUACAUCUCAACUUCGUAAAUAGAAGUACUUAUCAUUGAAAUAUAAUUAAAGUAGCAAGAGGCCAUUUGAAGUGUAAAAGGAAAAGGAGAGAGAAGGGUAGCUAUAGAUGGAUAAGAUAUGUGUCAGAACGAGUCAACAUUUGAUAAAACCUUUUGGGAUUGUAUCUAACAACAUUUUUUUUUCUCGGUUGGAUCUCAGUGUUUAUACAAAAGCAAAGAUUUGGAUGACUAAAAUUUGACGCUAUACUUAUAAAGUAGAGAUAUAGAGUUUAUCACCAGUGUAAUAUAUACAUGGUCUUAAUUUACACAAUUCACCAUGUGACAGUGAGAUGAUGAUAAGGUAAAUUAUCAAUUAAAAACAUGACAGUUUGUACUAAUGUUAGAUCAUAUGAUAUGCUUAUUGAGUUAAUGGUCAUGUUCGGUCCAAUUGAAUAAGUCUAAAGUAGUAGUAAAGUUGAAUAAGUCUAAGUUAGUUGAGAUAUUAUCAACUUAGUUUGUCAAUUAAGUAUCCAGUUCUUGAUUUGUUGAGAUUAUUUUGUUUCAUUCCUGUUUCUGUUUUGUCUGGCUUGUAUAAAUAAGCCAUUGUUGAAUAAUGAAGGCAUGAAUCAUUUUAUCAAAGAAAUACUUGUGUUACAUCUUGGAGGGAUUGGCUUCCUCGAAUCAGCCAACUGUUAACGUUACCAAGUGUAAGGGCAAGAUAGGAAGAGACAAGCAGAAUAAAAAUAGCUUGCCUGUUCCAUCACAUGUGGUGAGCACAUGUGAGGAGAUGGAAUGGGGCAUAUGUAUGUUGAAGAGUUUCGUAACCAAAAUUUUUGGGCUAAAAAACGACUGACUUUUUCAUUUUUACUUGAUUAAAACCGCGAUAAACGAGAAGAACUUUUAGCGGGGGACAAAAUGAGUUUUACGGCUCAUUCAAUACAAGAAACUAAAAUAUUGAAAAGCUUCACGCAGGAAGCAGGAAAAGUAAGGAACCAAAAGUUAACAGAAACAAUCGUCUGAAAAGCCAUUAGCAUCUCUAGAAAGAAAAGGCAAAGCUUCUACGAGAGGCGAAGACCACAAGUGAAAGAAAAGGUAAAGCAUCUGCAAGAGGUGAUAUUAGCUCAUUUUCGACAAAAUAUAAUGACAAUUAAGCUAAAUAAUUACGAAUAAUCCAAAGGGGUUGGAGACUAAAAUUGAAGGUGAACUGCCAUUGAAGGGUCAGAAUCAAUCACUAAAACAAGUGCCAUAACCUCAGCAUAGUAAUAAUUAAAAAAUAAUUUCUUGCGCAUGUACAAAGAGGUGAACCACUCGAAUGUAAACUUGAAAAGUGUUCACAACUGGAUUAAAUAAUGGACAAUUCAUAGUUAUUGUUAAUGUUAAAAGAAAGGAAUAGAUUGGGAAAAAAAAAUUAAGGAUAAUUUACAAUUAAUGCAGUCCUUGUGGUUUAAGGAAAAAUCAAGUAAGCCAGAAAUCAUUAGUACUAUUUUUCAAAUAAGUCCUCUGACCGUGUUUGACCAUUCACCGUACUGCAAAGUAAGCGAAAAUAUCUACUUCUUAGCAGCCCACUUUUAUGAUGCGAUUAAUUUCAACCAUUCGCUGAUUCGCGUGCUGGUAGUUAGGCAAGUUCAUUUGUUGGCUGGAGAAAUUUGAUAUUUUUGGUACCAAAUUUAUACAUAUGUGUGCGUGUGCGUGUGUGUGUGUUUCCUUUAAUUUGUGAAUUUGGUAUUACUUCUCAUCAGGUGUGCGAAACAGAAACAACGGCAUUUAUUACAUAAAUAUUUCUAAUUUGCAGUAUGGAAAGCUUGGAGAUGUUAAAUCUCUCCCAAAAUAACCUGUCAGGUUCAAUUCUAAGUAAUUUUGAAGAAAUGCAUGGCUUGUCAUUGGUUGGUGCAUCUCCUACAUUGAAUUACAGGGCCCAAUUCCAGUUGACAGAUACACAGCCAGAAAAUAAAUAAACUCCGUACGGACAAACUUGACACUCCCGCGGCCAGAUAUGUUCCAAAAUCUACUUAUAGCCAUAAUUUUGAUACAAAAGCCAAUGGAAUUAUUGCCCCUUAUAAAUUAUGAAUUACAUCCUAAUCUAGUUGCUUAAUUUUGGAUAGAAAAUCUUGCUUUGAUCAUUAUACCGCUUAGAAAUAUCAAAUUCCAAGGCUCGUCAUUAAUUGGGAUAAAAUUUUAUAUCUCAGCUUUCUAAAUAAUUUACUUAUCAUUCAAAUAUAAAGUGGCCAGAGGACAUGCCGAGCGUCAAAAUGAAAGGAGAGAGGAGUAGUAGAUAAGAUACGGGUUAGAAGGAGUCAAAAUUUGAUAAACUUUUUUGGAUUGUAUCUCACAAGUCACAACUUUUUUUCCUUUUCUCCUGUUUGGAUCUCAGUGUUUAUAUAAAGCAAAGAUUCAAGGCCCACGUGUCCAUAAGAUGAGCGAUGGUGUCUACCAGAUUAGUUCUCUGGAGUUUAGAUCACCGGGGUAACACAGACAUUGACUCCUUCACUUCUCAAUUGCUCUUUUGCUUCCGCUGUAAUUGUUUUCUGCAACGUCGUUAAAUUAUAUAUGAGUGUUUGAUAACCUUUUCAAUUUCAAUCAACUUUUGUAUUACCUUAAUUAUUUUGUUUCCUUUCUGCGUAAUUGAUCUUGUGUUUUUAUAAUAUCAAUGGUGUCACGAACCUUGAAUAGAGUAUCUUUUACUGUUUUGUUGAUUCUAUUUUAUACGUGUUUGUAUUAGAAUUUUUACUUAUCAUUGAAAAACCCGGGGAUGAAAUCUAACACGUACUAAUUAAUUAAAUUUAUUUCAUAAUAAUAAACUAAAUUAAUUUUUUUUAAUANNNNNNNNNNNNNNNNNNNNNNNNNNNNNNNNNNNNNNNNNNNNNNNNNNNNNNNNNNNNNNNNNNNNNNNNNNNNNNNNNNNNNNNNNNNNNNNNNNNNNNNNNNNNNNNNNNNNNNNNNNNNNNNNNNNNNNNNNNNNNNNNNNNNNNNNNNNNNNNNNNNNNNNNNNNNNNNNNNNNNNNNNNNNNNNNNNNNNNNNNNNNNNNNNNNNNNNNNNNNNNNNNNNNNNNNNNNNNNNNNNNNNNNNNNNNNNNNNNNNNNNNNNNNNNNNNNNNNNNNNNNNNNNNNNNNNNNNNNNNNNNNNNNNNNNNNNNNNNNNNNNNNNNNNNNNNNNNNNNNNNNNNNNNNNNNNNNNNNNNNNNNNNNNNNNNNNNNNNNNNNNNNNNNNNNNNNNNNNNNNNNNNNNNNNNNNNNNNNNNNNNNNNNNNNNNNNNNNNNNNNNNNNNNNNNNNNNNNNNNNNNNNNNNNNNNNNNNNNNNNNNNNNNNNNNNNNNNNNNNNNNNNNNNNNNNNNNNNNNNNNNNNNNNNNNNNNNNNNNNNNNNNNNNNNNNNNNNNNNNNNNNNNNNNNNNNNNNNNNNNNNNNNNNNNNNNNNNNNNNNNNNNNNNNNNNNNNNNNNNNNNNNNNNNNNNNNNNNNNNNNNNNNNNNNNNNNNNNNNNNNNNNNNNNNNNNNNNNNNNNNNNNNNNNNNNNNNNNNNNNNNNNNNNNNNNNNNNNNNNACAUAUCUAUUGGAACCGUACCUCCAACAGGAUAAGUUGGGAAAAGCAAUCAAUAAUUUAACUAAUUAAUUAAAAUUAUUAAAAAAAAAAGGUUGAGGGUGGGACAAAAUCAAAAUUAUUUUUUAUCCUUUACCUCCCCAUGAUACUAUUCAGUCAGGGCCUAGAGACAAAUUAAAUUAAUUAUUACUAAGAUAACAAUAUUAUAGGUAAAACAACUUAUUCUAAUUGAAUUAUUUAAUGAUACAUAUAUUACAUAAAUUAAAAAAUUAUAGAAAUUUUUAUUUAUAUUUAAUUAACUUCCAUUUACAUUGAUUCAAAUAAUAAGCAGUACCAAAUUUUUUUUUGUUAAUAAUAUAAAAUAUGUUAUUGGCAAUAAUAAAAGAAUGUAUUACAAAUAAUAAUACAUUUAAAUAUCUUGUAAUUUAGAUGUAUAUUUUUAUUAUUUAUUUCAUGUGGGAAUCCUCCUUGUUUUUCAGCAUCAAGUUCGUUUGAUUUAUUUAGUCUCAUGUAGCAGUGGUUGAUAAUUGUGUAGGUUAUUACGACUUCCAUACUAGGUGAUCUCUUCCUUUUAAAAUGUAGUUCUUGUUGUAAUAACUAAUGAUUAGUAUUUUCCAGAUAAGUUCUCUGACCGUUUUUAAUCAUUAACUAACAAUUCAUAUUUUUAACGUUUAUUAAGAAUUUUAGGUUUGUCUAUAAAUAAAUGAAAGGAAUUAAUAACAAAUUUAGUGAAGGAUGAACAAUUUUGGUAGAGUUAGGAUGUAAACGAAAAUAUAAACAAUUAAUUGUGGCAUUAAGUAUGAGAAAAACUCAAUCUAGACUACUCAUAUUUUGAUAUAUCAUUUGCCAUUAGAUCUUUAAAAGUCUAAUAAACUUAGGGUUACAAAUCCUUUUUUUUUCUAUCGUGCUCGAGUUCUACAGGACAUUGGAGAAGUCCUAGAAAAUUGAUCAAGGCAACCUGGCUACAAUUGAUAGAAAGGAAACGUUUAAAGUGGCUUGAUUAAUUUACAAGAACCCGGUUCGCGAGUCCAUGGUUUCUCUAGGAAGCCUCAGUCGGCUUAAGGUACCACAAUUCAUAGAAGCAUAAAAAAUAGCUUGAUGUAACAAAGAUUUGUGCGUUCUUUUAAAUUCAGCAUUUGAGUUCGUUAUGAUGAAGUUUCUGAGUUUCUUAAUCACCUAGAUAACAUCCUUUAUUGGCGGAGUCAAGUAUAAAAGGUGCUGAUGGGCAGGUGUGUCAAAGCAGAGUGAUUUGUGAUUAUCACACCAGUGAUCUUUACUAGCUCGGAGUGAAAAGAUCAUCCUUGUAAUCUUGUUAAUACUCUCUAUAUAUAACUUUACUCUCUUCUGAAAUCGAUUAAUCAAAUUUGUCUUUCACCUUGCACAGCUUGCUUAAACAUACUGAAUAUUUGCCUUCCUUUUUCCUUCAGGGUAGUUACUAAAAGUUUUAUAGUCUUGAGCAUGAUUUUAUUGUCAAAGUAUAAAUUUAUUCUUUGCUUUUUACGCUUAAUUCUGCAUGACUUUCUCUCAAAUAAGCAAAUUAAUUUGCAAAUUAUGCUCAAAGUGUUGUAUCCAUUUUUUUAAUGUUAAUUAUAAGCAUUCCCUCUAAAUGAAUAUGAUCAAAUUGUUACAUGGUCCAAAUUAGAAUUACGGUCACAAUGUUAGUAUACCGGAAAUUUGGCUAGGAUCGAGAAAUUAAACUUAGUUUUGUUUGUUAAGUUGGUUGAUAUGAAUAUGAAAAGACAUUGUAAUUCAACUUCUAAAGUCUCUUUAAUUUGUCUCGAACAUUUUGAUAACUUAAACAAAGUAUGUACAUUUGAUGACAAAAAAAGAAGGGUAUUGGAAAAGCCAACCCCAAAAUAUUUAGUCUUUCCGCUCUUUCUCUGGCAUAAUGUUCGGGGAGACAAAAUGCCCAGCAAACAAGUUAAUUUGAUCCGUUAGGAUCGAAAGAAACGUUAAUUAGUCAAUUCGUCCAUUAAUCUUGGUCACAAAUGUUUAUUCUAUGUUCUGGGACGACUUAUGGACUUUAAUUGUAGUUCGAAGGAGAAUAGCUAUCAAUACAAAGAUUUUUUUAACAGAACCGCAUGCAACAAGUGAACCUUUUGUUUGGAUAAUUUUAACAUCGUAGAUGUCUUUGAAAAUUUUUUCCUUAAGCAAUGGGGGAAAACUCUUCCCUACUUGAUCAGGCUUUGACUCAUACGCCUCUCAAAUGGUUGUUUAGAAAAAGCUUGUGGGCACGAUCCCCAUACCCCUAGAAACACUCCACCCCUUCAAAAUACAAAAGGUAUAUGAGGAGGAAACGAUAGGAGAGCAAGGAAAAAAAUAAUAAUAAUUCAAAACAAAGUCGAUACCUUUACAACAGUUCUACAUCUUUGCUAACUUAAGCAUCGCAGUGGAAUUCGGAAAUCUCAUUUUCCAAUUGUCCCAUUUCACAUUUUGGUUUAUUAUGUGUGCAAAUGACUUCCAUCUACCGCACUUGGUUCAGUUCACAUAGAAAAGAAAUAAGUAUUAACAAUCACAUAUAUUUUUUUAUUAUAUUUCCGAUAUGCUUUUCAUGUCCUUGCAUUAUAUAAAUAAAUAAAAAAAGAGAGAAAGAGAGAGAGAAUUGAAGAAUCUUCCCGGAAAAACAUUGAGCAUUAGAUCCUCACUGUCAGCCAUCAAUGAUAAUGGAGGUUCUUAUGUUGAGUUUUAUUACAGUCUCUGAUCAUACAUAUAAAGCAUUUAGUGACAGAAUAAAUUUAAAGAGUUAGACUGUAAUUUUUUAUAAAAAUUAAUUCGGUUCUCUUUUUGGUGGUGCAAGGAUCAUUGACAAUAACUUAUCUUGGGACCAUAACUUUUUAUCCUGAGCCCACACUCUUACAAUGUAAAAUCAAUAAUUUUUUAUAUCAUGAGUGACAUAGAACUUGUUUCCCAACUUUUUACUUAUAUUAUUAAUUUAAAGAGAACUUUACAUGAAGUGAUUUAAUUUAUAUAAAACUGAGCUAACUUACUGUUUUUUUUUUCGGGCUAAAAUUUUUAAGUAAUGACGUCUGAACUAACGAAAAUUUUCACUUACAUAUUCGAGUUCCAACAUAGUAUGCCAGUGAUAAACACAAAAAAAUUGAAAAAAAAAUAAAACGUCAUCUUACUGUUUAUUUGAUGGAAACCAAAUGUUCAAAGUGACUUGAUUUACAAGAACCCGAUCGGCGAGCCCAUGCUUUGCCUAGGUAGCCUCAGUAGCCAUGCGUUGUAAUAAUUAAUAUAAGCAUCAAAAAGAAAAUUUGUUUUGAUGUAAUAAAGAUUUGUACUUACUAAAUUCAGCAUUUCAGUUCGUUAUGAUGAAGUUUCUGAGUUUCGUAAUCAAGUAAAAUAGCAUCCUUUAUUAGCUGAGUCAAGUAUAAAAUUAAGGUGCUGAUGGGCAGAGUGAUUUGAGAUCAUCACACCAGUGAUCUUUGCUAGCUCUGAGUGCAAGAUAAUGUUUGUAAUCUUGUUAAUACUCUGUAUAAAUAAUACUCUCUUCCGAAAUCCGUUGAUCAUAUUUGUCUUUCACCUUGCAGAACUUGCUCACACAAUGAAGAUUACUGCAUAUUUGUCAUUUCUUUUUUCCAAGGAAAUUAUUAUGACAGUAUUGAGAUUUGAAAUGAUUGUUUGCAAAUUUUAUAGUUUAAAAUUAAGCAUGGAUUUAUUACCAAAGUAUGUUUAUUCUUUGCUCUAUGCUUAAUUCAUCAUUACUUGAUUACAGAUAAGUAAAUUAAUUUGAAAAUUAAGCUCGAAGUGUUAUAUGCAUUCUUCCAAUAUUAAUUACAAGCAUUCAAUAUGAUGAAACUGUUACAAGGUGCAAAUCAAAAUUAUGGUAACAAUGUUAGUAAAUAGGAAAGCUAGCUAGUCCCGACAAAUUCAAUACAGUCUCGUCUAUUAAAUUGGUCGAUACGAAGGUGAAUAGAAAUUAUAAUUCAACAUUUAAAGUCUCUCUGUCUCACUCAUUUUAAUAUCUUAAUCAAUGCACAUUAAUUUGAUGACAAAAAAGAAGGGUAUGGAUAAGCCAACCCCAAAAUAUUUAGAAUUUCCAUCCUCUCUCUGGCGUAAUUUUCGGGGAAGCAAAUGCCCAGUGAACAAAAGUUUGAUCAAUCAAUGAUUGGAUCCAAAGAUACGUAAAUUAGUCAAGUCUUUCCAUUAAUUUUGAUCACAAAUGUUUAUCCUAUUUUGUGGGACGACUUGCCAUGGACUUUAAUUGUAGUUGGAAGGGGAGUGGCUAUCAAUACAAAGAUUAUUUUGACAGAAUUGCUUGCAACAAGUGAACGUUUUGUUUGGGUAAUUUUAAAAUUGUAGAUGUCUUUUAAGACUUUUGCCUUAAGCAAUUGGGAAAACUCUUCCCUACUUGAUCAAGCAUCGACUCAUACACCUCUCAAUUGCUAGUCUAGAUUCUAUAUAAUUUUGGCUCGUGUGGAAAAAGCUACUCGUGGAUUCCUCCUAAUAACUCCAAUGAUUUUUCCUGAAAUUAAAACCAUAAUCUUUAGCCUUUAACCAUUUAGACUUUGGGCACGGACGAACAUUGUGUUAUGUAGUUCAUAGUCGAAGUGAAAACGGUCUAUAUUUUAGCCAAUAUUCGGUACAUAAAAACAUACUUUGAAAGUUAAUUAAUCUAACGGAACUCAUUUUUUAGGGGGAAAGGAAUCAAUUUACAGGCAUAUACCUUCAAAAAUUAGAUUACUCAAUUUACAGGCAUAUACCUCUGCAAAUAGAUUUAAUGUCAACGUAGUCAAUCCCAAAAAGUCUACACAAGUACAAAAAUGGUGCAAAUCACGGGAAGCUUAUCCGUCUUAUCAACGCUUGAAAACGUGCUGAGAAUUUGUUAGAUUGAACACCGUGUGGACUGACUCCAUCAGUUGCCCCACAAAAGUUAAUGCAGUCCGCAAUAGUUGUACGCCAAAGCAUUAUAAUUUUUCUAUUGCCUUUUAAAUUGGCCAGUUGCUAAUGAGAACUCAAAAAUGACAGUCGUAAUUUUAUGAACCACCAAUAAUAAUGGAGCCUCUUAUGUUGAGUUUUAUUACAGUCUCUGAAUUCUGACUUUUUUUUAUUUUUUUAUUUUUUUAAAGUCCUGUACGCUGGUGGCGUAUGUAUUAUACAAUCUGGGUAUAUCUAUUGGGAGUCUGAUUCAUACAUAUGAAACAUUUAGUGACAGAAUAAAUUCGAAUUAGACUGGGACCACACCAUUUUAUCCUGAGGCCACACUCUUAUAAGGUAAAAUCAAUAAUUUUUAUAUCAAGAAGUGACAUAAACUUUGUUUCCCAACUUUUUAAAUAUAUUGUUUAUUUAAGGAGAACUUUACGUGAAGUGAUUUUAUUUGUAUAAAAAUGAGCUAACUUACUGCUUUUUUUUUUUGCCAUAAUUUAUAAGUAAUAACGUCUGCGCUAAUGAAAAGUUUCAAUCAGAUAUACAAGUUCCAAUAUAGUAUGCUACUGAUAAAAAAAUAAAAAAAUAAAACAUCAUCCUGCUGUUUAUUUGAUGGAAACCAAAUGUUUGAAGUAGCUUGAUUUACAAGAACCCGCUUUGCGAGUCCAUGUUUUGUCUAGGAAUCCUCAGUAGCAUAGGCGGUGCCACGUUAGGACUAGAGCCCCCCUAACUUUCAAAAUUACAAAUUUAAUUUUAUAUUUGUCUCAUUUAUUAUAAAAUUCCUUAUUAAAAUUAAACAAAUAAUCAAAAUAUUAAGUAUUUAUCUUUAACUUCCAACCCACAAAGAUAUUGUUAUUUUGAGAUUUGUUGCACGCUAACUCUCCUCACACAAAGAAAAAAAGAAAUUAUUUUAUCUUAUUGCGUUUAUUAAAAUGAUUUUACUUCAAUAAAUCUUAUGACACUUAAAAUUCAAUUUGAUGUUUAUAUUACAUAGGUGGGUUCUAAUAACAAAUUUUCAAAAUUGAAAGAGAUUGAUAGGUUAACAAGAAAAAUAGUUGAUACUAAAAAAGAUAAAUUAUGUUCAUUAAUUUGUUUAUUGAUAACAUUAGUAUUAAAUUUACUUGUUGUCAUAACUACAGUAGUAAAAGGCAUUUUCAACUAUGAAUUUUGUGAAAAAUCGUCUAUGAAAUUAGAUUAGAGAUUAAUAAUUGAGUAAUAUUAUUAUUACACAUGUAGAAAAAGAUUAAUUUUGUAUUCUUGAUGAUAAGUUUAUUUUUUAACGUUUUUAACAUAUGAAAACACGUCGAGAUCAAUUAUAAAUGUAUUGAAUAUAUUAAUGAAUUUUUAUUUUUGAUACUUGUUAUUUAUUGACAUUUUUCAAAUUACAAUAUUAUUUAUACUUAGCCCCUGCUAAGUUUAAUUUCUGGCACCGCCACUGCUCAGUAGCUUUGCGUUAUCAAUCACAAUUAAUAGAAGCAUCAAAAAUAGCUUUUUUUUUAAAUGUAAUAUAAGAUUUGUACUUCUAAGUUCAGCAUUUGAGUUCGUUACGAUGAAGUUUCUGAGUUUCUUUACGAACUAACAUAACAUCCUUUGCAUUUUCUCAUCAAAUAAUAAUAAUAAUAAUAAUAACAUCCUUUAUUAGCCGAGUCAGGUAUAAAAGGUGCUGAUGGGCAAGUGUGUCGAAGCAGAGUGAUUCGUGAUUAUCACAAAUGUGAUCUUAACUAGCUCUGUGUGAAACUGGUCGAUAUGAAUAUAAAAAGAAAUUGUAAUUCAACUUUUAAAGUCUCUCUGUCUCAACCAUUGUAAUAUCUUAAUCAAAAGGUACAUUUGAUGGAAAAAAAAAUAUUUGAUGGCAAAAAAUAUUUAGACUUUCCAUUCUCUCUCCGCCAUAGUUUUGAGGAGAUAAAUGCCCAGUAAGCAAGUUUGAUCAGUUGCUGUUAGGAUCCAAAUAAACGUUACUUAGUCAAUUAAUUUGUCCAUUAAUCUAGACCAAAAAUGUUUAUUCUAUUUUCAUAAUUCAACCCCAACCUUGGGCAUGGAUUUUUUUUUUUAAAAUUGUUAUAAUAUGAGAAUCUAAAAAUUAAAAUUUAUGGUGUGUUUACUUGUGAAAUUGGAAAAUCAAAAUUCACAGUGGGAAUGAUUGAUAUUUUUUACUUGUUAAAAUGGAAUGGAGAAUCGGAAUAAAAUAUGUAAUAUCCACAUAUUUUUUAGUCAAGGAAAAGAAAUUUGAUUCGCAUGGGAUUGAGAAUCAAGCUUGCAUUCCUUGAAUUCACCAUUUUUCCCAACACACAUUUCAUAAUUUCAUUUUUUGUCCUCAAUUAAAAUAUUAUUUUAAGUUAUUGUCAUUAUUCUAAUAAUAAUAAUAAUUUUAAAAUAAUAAUAAUAAUCAUCAUCAUCAUCACCAUAAUGAUAAUGAUAAAUAUAAUAAUAAUGAAAAUAACAACAACAACAAUAAUAAUAACGAAAAAUAAUGAUAUUAAUAACCAUAAUAAUAAUAAUAAUGAUAAUCUAAUAAUACUAUAAAUAACUAUUAUUAUAAUAGUAAUAAUACUUUACAGUUAGUAAUUUCAUCAUUUCACAAGCCUCCUUCAGUGGCUGAUUUUGGGCAUCUUGCGGAUCUUCGCGUUUAUCAUAUCCACCUUUUAAAAGAAGAAGAAGAUGAUGACGAUGAUGUGGUGUGUGCGUGUGUUUAGAACUGUACCUUCAGCCAGUCUUUAGUUUUAAGAAAGAGUAGGAGAGGAGGGGGAAAAAAUGGAGAGGAGUGGAGGGGUAAUGAGAAAUUGAUUUCUAUUGUUUGGCUUUACAAAAAAAAUUAAAGGGAAAGAAAUUACAUGUUUUUUUUAUUUGGACAAGUACACCCAUUGGACUUUAGUGUUAAAAUGUUAAUAUUAACAGUAAAUAUAAUAAAAAAAAUUAAACUAUAAAUUAAAUUAAUCUAGAACACAAAUUAAUAAGAAAACAUUUAAUUUUAUAUUAUAUUUUUAAUUGAUUGCUUCUUAUUUUAUAAUCAAAAUAACUAACCAAAAAGUAGUAGAUGGACGACUAAAAGUUGCAUAUCGACGUAGAAGAACCUGACAUACGGCUCAAACGGUGAUUGAUUUACUGAACUGCAACCAAAGGAACCAUUUUUUGGAUAAUUUCAGAGCAAUAGUAUUCAGACUACUAUGUAAAAAACAUUCUAAUCUUGGAAAACUUUUCCACCUUAUGAAACAUUGGAAAAAUCUUCCCAACUUGACACAUCGACUUGUUGACCUCUCAAUUGCACUUGUGUGUGGCUUCUAUAAAUUUGGCGUCCAGCAUGCUUGUUUUCUGCACCUUUGUAUGUUUUCCAAAAGCUAAGAGUCAUCAAAAGAUCUUUUGAAUUUCAAUGACACUUCGGUUUAACUUUAUUUAUUUGAUUCUGUUUUUGUAAUAUCAAUGGGGUCACCAACCCUCAGUACAGUAGUUCCUUCACUUGUUUUGUUGAUCCUAUUUUUUGUGUUAAGUUUUUUAAUAACUGUUUCUUCAGAAUCUAAUGAAGAAGCUGAUGCUCUUCUCAAAUGGAAAGCCAGCCUUCAAAGCCAUAACCAAUCUCUCCUUCCUUCCUGGACUAACGCCACCACCAAUGUUUCGUCCAAAAUAAGCCCGUGUGCUUGGUAUGGAAUCAGUUGCGAUGACGCUGGAAGAGUCACCAACAUCAGCCUCAGAAAUACGGGAUUAAGUGGUACGCUUCGUGAUUUGUCAUUCUCAUCGUUUCCUCAACUUGUGCUUCUUGAUCUCAGUCAUAAUGGAUUGUUUGGUACCAUCCCAUCUCAAAUUGGUAACCUUUCGAAACUCAGCUACAUUUCUUUAGAUUCCAAUCAGUUUUCCGGAAAAAUUCCAGCGGAGGUUGGUCUUCUGACUCAUUUGAAGAUCCUUGGUUUUCAAUUCAAUCAAUUAGAUGGCUCAAUUCCACCAGAAGUUUGUCAGUUAAGUUCUAUCGAGGAGCUUUUCUUAUAUGCUAACCAUUUAAACGGGUCGCUUCCUCUUUUUGUGGGUAACUUGAGCAAUAUCAUUCGAUUGUAUAUUAGUAAUAAUUCACUUUCUGGUUCUAUUCCUAUGAACAUUGGAAACUUGAAAUUUCUUUUUGAAUUAGAUUUGAGUGAUAAUCAACUUGGUGGUUCAAUUCCUCUUUCUUUUGGUAACUUGAGUAACUUGGCUCGAUUGUACCUUUAUAAAAAUUUACUCAUUGGUUCUAUUCCGUCAAGUUUAGGAAACUUGAAGCUCAUUGACUUACAGUUGAGCAUUAACCAACUCACUGGUUACAUCCCAUAUUCCUUAGGUAAUGUAACAAGUUUAUCAUCUUUACUUCUAGCCAAAAAUAAGCUCUAUGGUUCUCUUCCGCCAUUUGUUGGUAAUUUGACCAACCUAAAAGAAUUAUACCUCCUUAAUAACAGCCUAUCCGGUUCCAUUCCUCCCUCCCUUGGGAAUUCAAUGUUAACCUAUCUAGUAUUGGAUUUCAAUCAUUUUACAAGUUAUUUACCGCACAAUGUUUGUCGAGGUGGAGCAUUACAGUAUUUUACUGUUUCUGAAAACCAUUUUCAAGGAACAAUCCCUAAAAGCUUGAGAAAUUGCACAAGCUUAUUCCGAGUACGCUUUAAUGGAAACAACCUUACUGGAAAUAUAUCAGAAGCUUUGGGCACUUAUCCUAACUUGACUUUUAUAGAUCUCAGCCGCAAUAAUUUUUACGGUGAAAUCUCAUUUAAUUGGGGGAAAUGCCCAAAAUUAGGCACUCUCAAUGUUUCGAUGAAUAACAUUACUGGAGGUAUACCGCGUGAGAUUGGAAACUCGUAUCAACUACAAGCACUUGAUCUUUCAUUGAAUCAUAUAGUUGGGGAGAUUCCAAAGGAACUGGGAAAGUUAAAUUCUCUAACCAAGCUCAUUUUGAGAGGGAAUCAACUGACAGGGCGUCUACCUACCGAAAUCGGCUCACUCAUUGAACUUGAAUACCUCGACUUUUCUGCUAAUAAGUUCAACAAUUCAGUACCAGAAAGUCUCGGCAACUUGCUGAAAUUGUACUACUUGGGCUUAAGCAACAACCAGUUUGUCCAAGAAUUGCCAAAGGAAUUGGAGAAGCUAGUUCAACUUUCAGAAUUAGAUGCAAGUCAUAACCUCUUUGGAGGAGAGAUACCAUUUCAAAUAUGCAGUUUGAAAAGCUUGGAAAAGUUGAAUCUCUCCCACAAUAAUCUCUCCGGUUCGAUUCCAAAUUGCUUUGAGGGAAUGCACGGUCUAUCAGUCAUUGACAUUUCUGAUAAUCAAUUGCAAGGCCCAGUUCCAAAUAGCACAGCAUUUCGGAAUGCCCCAGUGGAAGCGUUAGAGGGGAAUAAGGAAUUGUGUGGAAGUGUGAAAGGAAUGCAACCAUGCAAAGUUUUCUCGACACACAAGCAAAAUUCUGGAGCCAAGUGGUUUGCACUAGUGUUCCCUGUUUUAGGAGCACUAUUUGUUUCAAUGGCGUUGAUAGCAAUUUUCAUUCUCCGAAAGCAUAAGUCAGACUCAGGAGAUCGACAGAGUAGCAACCAGAACCCUCAGGGAUUGUUUUCUAUAUUAAAUUUCGAAGGGAAACUCGUGUACGAUGAAAUUGUUAGAGCAACAAAUGAUUUUGAUGCAGAGUAUUGCAUUGGAAACGGUGGACACGGAAGUGUUUAUAGAGCUGAGCUACCAUGUGGGGAAGUCGUAGCUGUUAAGAAAUUUCACUCACCACUCCCAUGUGAUCAGAUUGCAGAUCAAAAAGAAUUCUUGACCGAAGUUCAAGCCUUGACAGAGAUACGACAUCGAAACAUUGUGAAGUUUUAUGGAUUUUGCUCACAUGCCCGACACUCUUUUUCGGUCUAUGAAUUUCUUGAAAGGGGUAGCUUGGCUGCGAUCUUGAGCAGUGAUGCAGCAGCACAAGAACUGGGUUGGAUUCAGAGAAUGAAUGUGAUCAAAGGCGUAGCUGAUGCUCUGUCUUACUUGCACCAUGACUGCUUUCCUCCGAUUGUCCAUCGAGACAUAUCAAGUAAGAACUUGUUGCUGGAUUUGGAAUAUGAAGCUCAUGUUGCAGACUUUGGAAUCGCUAAGUUUCUGAAGCCAGACUCGUCCAACUGGACUGAAUUUGCAGGCACAUACGGAUACGUUGCACCAGGUAUUUAUGUAGUACAUUCAGCAGACUUGUAAAAGCUUACUAGUUUAUGCACAUUUAUCUCAUAAACAGAGUAAACAUUUUUUUUUUUGGGUCCUUGACCUUGCAGAGCUUGCUUACACAAUGAAGAUCACAGAGAAAUGCGAUGUGUACAGUUUUGGAGUGUUAGUGUUGGAAGUGAUCAA
rnacentral:lncRNA from 1 species